rnacentral:lncRNA from 1 species
AUAAACAAUCUCCAGGACGACGAAUGGCGGCUGCCACAGUAUUUCUAGACUUUCUAAAAAAAGCUUAGUUAUUUGUUGACAAACAAGACUACAACACAAUACUGACACACAUUAGAGAUACGAUUCUGAACUUUAUAUUGAAAUAACUGUCACUUCUGUAAGACUUUUAUAUUUAAACAGGUCAACCAUUGACAUUGUCCUCAUUCAUCAGUUAACUUCCCAGAAAAAAAAGUUCAUUUAACAAAUUAACGCAUUUCAUUCAUGAAAAUAUAGAUAAUUUGAUUUACACAACCAUAAAAACAUCUCAUAAUUCAACAGUUGUUUUAAUGGAAAUUCAAAUGUAGGGUGCUAGGAGGAAGCCAGGGCAGGAAGGAGUGCAUUUUUGGAGCAAAAGGAACUGGUACCAGAAGUCACUUGUUCAAGUUGUUGCUCUUUGUCUCUCAUGUUAUAUACUCGUCAGUUGCCAGAGUUCUUCUGAUUGGCCAAUAUUGCAAAAUGUCUUCCUCAUUUCUGCUGGCGUAAAAAAAACAAAUGGCAUAACCGACAUCAACGUUAAAUCAAUUCUUACUGCAUAUACUGUGACAUUGAAACAUAAGCAUUGUGUUAGGAAAUUUAAAGGAUCCAUUUAUAAGUGGUCAAUUAGUCAUAGGUUCAUAUAAACAUGCUUCUGCUGUUUGGUGGCUGCCAUGAUUUCUGGUUAUUCUGUCUCUUUUGGUUACAUUUAUUAUGGUAUGCACAUACUGUUGUUUUUUAUUUGGGCGGGUUGUUGUCUCUUUGACACAUUCCCCAUUUCCAUUCUCAAUUUUACAUACAUUUAUUUGCUUAUUUACAAUUACAUUGAAGUCCGCAGGGCCUAGUUGUUUGUGUGGCCGGUGAUAUUGCGCAUUUGCUGAUUUCGUCAUAUCAACACAGUAACACAGAUAUAAUCAUUCUAUUUAUUAUAUUUAUUUAAAUGUUUAUUAUAUAAAAGAAUAAAAUUGAUGAGUGCAAGUGGUACUGGUAAAAUAAUUAACAUGAUUAAUAACUGCAAUCCCGUGAUUUAUAAUAUUUGGCCAAUUUCCAUUAAAAAAAAUACAUUAUCAGAUAGAAUUUGUUUUAUUUAAGUCAAAUUUAUAUCAGAUUGAAAUAAUUUUUGCUCUGCAUACUUGACAGUGGGUUUGGUUCAAAUUCAGCUAUAUUUCAUAGUAGAAAAUCUUUCCUUUAUUUAAAAUAAGCUAUUUUUGGAAAUCACCAAACUUUGGAGGAACUCUCAGAACAUGGGUUUCCCUAAUUUUGGACACACAAUACACAAAAUAUUGAGGGUGAAACUAUACAAACAGAAGAUUUUAUAAAAUAAUUAUCCAGUUAUUUGUUUUAUCAUUUGAAUGAAGUGAAUUCACGAGUCUUAGCUGCGCUGAUUCACCGGACUGCACGGUACAUGAAUUAAGGUAUAAUGUUCCAAUGAGUUUAGGGGAAACACAGGUACAUUUGUACAUGUAUAAUUUUUUGGGAGUUACAAUGUAUUUGUAGAUACAUGAAUGUGUCUUCAUUGACAGACAACCAGUAAAUAUAUGUUUGGAUUCAAUUGGUAUUAAUUUAAUUAAUAUGAUUAUCAAACAAAUUAAUAAUUAAUUAAUUGGUUGAAUUACUAAUUACUAAAUUAUGUUUUGACAAGUUUAUUUAAUUUUGCCUUGAUCAUGUUGAUCUCAGUAAUCCUUACUGAUACCUCAAUUCCUAUGAGCAAGAACAUUUUGUUGUAUUCUUUUUUACUUGAUAUAUGAUUUAAUUUUGUCAAUUUUUGAUAUAGAAAAUUGUUGGAUUUUUUUAGAAUUAAGAAGUCAUGGUUUUAACCGAUUUACCUUUUGAACGUGGAACAUUGAUUCAUCAACGUUACAAUUUGUUGAGACGACCCGGAAGUGCUCCUGCUUUCAAGAGAGAUGAAGAUGAGAAAAAAGAACAGAGCAAAACUUAUGCUACUUUUUUAAGGUAAUCAGAGUUUAGGAUAGGAUUUUACUAAAAUUAUCAUUGGCUAAUUCAGAUCAUGGGGAGCUAUAAGAAAUUAUAUUAUAACUGGAAAAAGGCAGUGAGGCCAAUUUAAACAUGUGUUCAACUGUGAUAAAAUAAUAUUUAAACUGAAGUAUAAGAGUUCUUCAUAUACAUGAUGUUCAUGUACAUGAUGUUUUUUAUUUGGGGUUAUGAUUGCAUGUGUAAGAAAGACACAAACUGGUUGUAAUGAAUUUAUAUUUAAUCACAAGAGAGAGAGAGAAAUGUUAGAUCUUUCAAUGGCUUUCCAGUGGAAGUGGAUAAUCAUGAUAAUUUAACAUGUCUUUGAAAAAUUAAAAAAUACUGAAACAAUGCUGUAUUUGUAAAAAAAAUAUUGAAGACAGUAGCAAAUAUGUUUAAAAAAAAAAGUCAAUACAGGGUGCUUAGUAAUCUCAGGUUUCAAAAGAACUCAAAAAAGAAUGAGCAUUUUCAAAACUCCAACUAUGAUCCAUUUUUCCUCAUCAUUACAGCAUAUAAUGAACGGUUUCAACUUUGUGUUCUGAACUUUGAAUAAUUUUUUAAAAAUAUUAAAGUAUCUAAUGAUCAGUGUUUUAAAGCCAUCUUUGAUAUCUUUUGUAGGGAGCAAGAAAGGAAAGUUGAUCCAGAACUUGGGUUUUUAGACUCAACAAGAUUCACAAAUCCUUAUGUUGUAAAGAAGAACAAAGAAAGAACAAAGCUAUCACAUUCUGGCAGUGGUAAACCAUCCAUUGUGUCGCUGUCCAACAGAAUAGCAAAUGGCCAGAAAGAACAUAACAAAAGAAUCAAAGUUAUUGAGGUAAGAUAAAAACAAAAGUAUAUCAUAGCAGUGAUAUACAUAUUUUUAUGGCUAUUUUAUGCAUUUUUCCUUUGAUCUUAUUUUUGUGAUAAUUUUUUAUAUCAUGCUACUCGCUUGAGAUGGAAAAUUAUUGCUAGAAACUAAGGAUGCAUGUGGAGUUGCUAAUGAAAUUGACAUGAAAUUGACAACGUUGUCAAAGGUAAAAUAGCGAUAAACAGAUUAUCAUUGGUCAUCUCAACUCGAUUGCUUUUCUCGCUUUCGCCUAUAUUUGCCUAUAAAUACUGUGAUUUCUGUGGUGUGAGAUCUUUGUUGUUCUACAAUUAGAAUUACCAAAACUAAUUCCACAUUAAUUUACCUCCAAGAAAAAAACAUAUUGUAGGUCAAGGAUAAUUUUUAAUAAUAACAAUUUUUAAGUUGUAAGAUAUUUUGCAUUAAGAUCUACAGAAAUUUACAUUACAGUGUUUACAUCUAUAAGUGUACUGUAGAAACUUUGAACAGUUUUAUUUUAGUUAAGUUUGAAAACAUGGAGGAUAAAACACAAACACACAUACAUUGACAUAAUUGACAAACAAGCAGAAAGCUAAAAAAAUAAAUAAAAAUAAAUUGAGGAUAAAAGAAAACAAUAGAGGAACACAAAUGAUAAUUAUAACAAUAUUUACAGGCUUUAUUCAGAAGGAUUCCAAAUAUAAUUUUCAGUUCAAUUUGAAUAAAUAAAUUAUUUAAUUAUAUUUUCAUACAGGAUCAUAUGUGGCAACACAAACAAGAAGAGCGAGAAUUAAAAAGGAUUGAAGGAGAUAUAAUUAAAAACCAAAGGGCUGUCCGACAUACCAUGAGAGAUUUUGAAAAUGGUAGGCAUGAAUUUCAUGAGUUAAAGAUCUAAUAUUAUUAAAAAUAAACAAGAAGGGUUUGACACUAGUCAUUUUUGGGAUCCUUUCUAGCAUGCUGUUCAGUGUGAGCCAAGGCUCUGUGUUGAAGACUAUACUUUGACCUAUAAGGGUUUACUUUUACUAAUUAAGACUUGAAUUGAGAUUUGUCUCAUUGGCAAAAAAAAAUAAAUCAAAACAUAAACUGCAAAACAGAAGAAUAUGGCAUUGAAUUUUUGCAAUGAGAUUAUAAUUUUAAAAUAUUACAAACUAAUUCAACAUUCUGACAAUUUAGGACAUAUAGACAUUUCUAGAGCAGUUUCAGACGAUAUUUUUAAAUAGAAACUGAUUGAAAUUUAUCAAAGGGAGAUUUUUAAAACUAUGUUUUUGAAACAUGUGAUAUGCAGAUGAAAUUUAUUGUAGAAAGAAUGGAAUAUUUAUCAUAUUUAUUGUUGAAUUAAAAGUUUAUAUCAUAUAAUUAUAUGCAUUAGUUUUGACAUAAAAUACAUAAUAUUGUCAAAUCAGAACAAUUUAGUCACAUUUAGCAAACAUUUUUCUCAUUCUUGCAUGAAGAUAAUGCUUAUGAAUAUUUUGAAAUCUUUUAAUUUGUAGACUAUUACUUAUUUGAAUUAUCUCCCUUGGUUAAUGUUUUCAAUAUUUUCUGCAAUUUUACAGCAAUAAAUAAAAAGAGAUUAGAAGAAGAGAAAAAAUUGAAUCAAGGAUUGGAGAAAUACACAGUCAUACAGAGAGAACAUAUACACAGGAAAGAAGAGGUAUCUAAAACAUGUUACCCCAACAAAUACUUUUUCUUAAGUUUACAUGGUUUGAAAGAGUUAUACAAAAAAAACAUAUGGUUAUCAGAAAACAAAAUUUUCUAAAGACAAACAAAAUUAUGAAGAAAUGAAAUCUUCGGCAAAAUGAUUCAUACUUUUAUAAGAUAUUAUACAAUUAUAACCAAAAAAAGUUGAAAAAGGAUCUGCCUAUUUGCAGGUUUAUAAGAUUAAAUAAUUUUAGAAGACAACAUUUCACAGAAAAAUUACAUUAUAAUAAUAAUAAAUUUUGGUAAAAAGGUAUGAAAUUCUUUUUAUUCAAUGAAUACAUUCAAGUUAUAAUGAAUUAUUUCUUAAUUUUUAUGAUGUUUUAUUGAUAAAUAUUAAAGACACUGUUUGUGAGUAUCUUGCAUUGACUUGUUUUCUUUAUUUAUACACAAAAUUACACAUUAAGGGGGUAGACCUUAGUUCAGGGAGAUAACUCUUUAAAUCCGUUAAGCGUUUGUAAAAGUCAAGUUCAUCAAUGUAUUUUAAGCAUUUACCUGAAACAGAUUGAAAAUAAUCUAUGUAACCUAGAAGCUUAGAAUAUAUUUUUGAAAAUGGUUGCCACAAACGUACUGAUGGUUUUAAUAGUUAUUUCCCUUAACCUAGGUCUACCUCCUUAAAUGUUCAAUUAUAGUUAGAAUGAAUCAUGUUGUGAAGCAUGAAAUUUUAAAAGUUUUAUAUUUAUAAGUUUGUUUUAAUUUUUCACUUAACAUUUCAUCAUUUGAAGAGAAAGAAGCAUACAUUUAUGAAAUUAAAGAUGGACCUCAGCACAUAUUGAAAAUUGAAUACCGAUCUGCAUUUCAAUACUGGAAUUUAGACAAAAAAAGUUAUUUUACCUUUUGAUAUUGAAAAAUAUCUGAAGACUGUAAAUUUAGAAAAGUAAAAAGAUUGAAAACAUUGAACUCCUAGGAAAUUUAAAAAUGGAAAGUCUCUUAUCAAAUGGCAAAAUUAAAACCUCAAACACAUCAAAUGAGUGGGAGAUUAUUGUUUGCAUUAUGUAUAUUGCAAUUGUUCAACAAUCAAGAUAAAUGAGAGUGUAUUUUAAUAGGCAGUUAUUAUUUUUGCAACAUCUAUUUGAUCACCUUUUUUUUAAAAAAUUUUUUUUUUAUAUACUGGUAGCCCAUGACAAAUCAUUUCACUUCGUCUUGUCCAUUUAACCUUAUUUAAGUAAAGAAAAGACACAGUAACAAUAAUUGUGCACAUUUUUUGAUGCACACUAUAGACGCUCGAUUUUACAUGAUUUUUUCCUUUCAACUUUAUUAAGAGGUUAACAUUAUAAAAACAAUUUAUUUCUAAAAUGCUACUUUUUAUUGUCCAGAUGCAUAAAUAUUUGACAAAUUUUAAUGAUUUAUUCAAUGAAGGGGGCUCACAGGUCUAAAUCAUUUUUUAUUUAAUAUAAGAUUUCGCUAUUUUUUUCUAUAAAUGAGCUUUAUCUUAUACCUAAUAGAAAAAUAAAAUAAAAAAGAGGGGUCACUGAUCAUUUACGCUCACAAUCUGCCUUGGAAAGAAGCAUACAUUUUUGUAAAGGUACUUUUUUUUCUGUUGAACUAAUAGGAGAAAAAGAGGUAAUAUCGAAAUAAAAAAAGAACUUAAUUACAGAAAUCACUUAAAUUUUACAAUUAUUUAGUUUAUAUAGCUUAUUUGAAAACAAUAAUAAAAAAUGUAGGUCACCAAUAGUAAAAGAUUAUAUUUCAAUUUUAAUGCUAAAAAAUAGCAUUUUUGCACCGAAGGGAGAUAAUUUGGAGCUUUUUCAAUGAUAUAAACAUUUUAAAAGUCAUCUGGGGCCAAACCGAAUCAACUUUUUUGGUUUAAUUUUGUAUCAUAUUAUAAAGUAAUAACUAAUAGUGUAAUAUAUAAAAUUUGUUAUGAAAAAACAAAUGUUUAAUUUUUUGCUGAAAUUUUUGUACCCGCGAGCCUCCUUAAGCAAAUAUUUGUAAUAAAGUACUGAAUUAAAUUUCACCUAAAAUCCUAAAAACCUGCUCUGUCCUGUGGAAAACAGGAUGGUCACUGAACAAGGAAAUAAAAGACAAAAAGACAUCACAUGUCAUAAGUUAAAAAAAAGCAAUAGUUUUUAUUUCAGUUGAUGCCUACACAUAUAUAACAUUAUUUUUGUAUGGGUUUGUUUCAGUUAUGUCGAAAAAGAGGAGAAAAAAAUGCGAUAACUACCAGAGAGUCCAAAAGACAAUGUAGAAAGAUUUUUUUGGAACAGUAAGUCAAAUGACAAUAUAUACAGUAACGUUCACUUUCAUUUUCAGUCAACAAAAGAACGAUUACAACAAACACAAAACUUUGAACAAGGAAGUAAAUCUGUUGGCAGAAAGAAUGAGCUCACAAAGUAAGUUAUAUUGUAUAUAAAUAAGUAGUGGAAUGAGUGCUAAUGAAGCAACUCUCCAUCAAAGUCGCAAUUUGUAAAAGUAAACCAUUAAAGAUCAAAUUACAGUCUUCAAAAUGACAGAUUAUUGUUUGCAUUAUGUAUAUUGCAAUUGUUCAACAAUCAAGAUAAAUGAGAGUGUAUUUUAAUAGGCAGUUAUUAUUUUUGCAACAUCUAUUUGAUCACCUUUUUUUUUAAAAAUCCAAAUUCAGACAAGCUGUAAAGGUCCAGAAAAAAUGACUAGUGAAAAGCCAUACAAACAGUAAAACCAAUGAUCUAAUCUAUAUAAAACAACGAGAAAUGAAAAACAUUUAUAAACCAGAUCAACAAACAACAACUACUAAACAUCAGAUUCCUGACUUAGGACAGGUGCAAACAAAUGCAGUGGUUUUAAACGUUUCAAUGGUACCAACCUUCACCCUUAUCUGAAACAAUAAUGUAACAUCAUAACAUAGAAAGACACACGAUAUACAUACUUGUAUAAGUGUCAGGCUUUAAGAUUAGAACUAUUUCUAAAAGUAAACAAUUGAAACAAUUAUCAUUAACUAAAAACUGCAGGUAAAAUUCAUAGUGGAUGGAUAAAAAGGUUUCAGAUAAGGGUGAAGGUUCGUCCAUUAUUUAAAAAAAAAAAAUUGCUUUUGCCAAUUAUUUUCUAUCCUGUUAAAUCUAUCCAGCUCUCCCCAUCUGUAUAUUUGUCCAUAAAUAUAUCAACCUAAAAGUUAGUAAAACUCUUCAUUUAUCGCUUCUUUUGAUUUUAGGUCAGAUACUGCUAGAAAAUAUAAAGCCAAAAUGAGUGAGAUAGAAUUAAAAAGGAUUGAAUUAAUGAGACUGAAUCAGGAAUAUGAAUCUAAAAUGAGAUCAAAAGAGGUUUGUUUAUAUAUGUAUUAUUACAGUGAAAACUAAAUUUCUAUAUUUUUAUAUGCAAAUAAAAAAGGUUAGCCUAAAAUUUGAUAAACAGCACAUUGAUUAUUACUAUGGGAUGUUUAACAACCUUGAAUAACAAUGAAGGUCUAGGUGGUGGGUUAUUGAAUAAAUUAAUGUCUUCUCGGUCCUGUCAUUUCCAGACCAGGGAUUUCAAUUUUGAACACCUCAUUCAGAAUUUCCCAUUACAUCAUUGUGAAAAAUAGAUUUAACCACUUCAUAUUGUUUAUUAUAAUAUUUAUCCACUGUACAUAGUUGAAUUUUAAAAUGCUUGGUAUGAAAAUUUAUCUAUUUCUAGUUUUCCAUUUAUGUAAACUCUGAAAGGGCUCAUAGAAUUCACAAAACUUGACAAUUAAAUUCAAACAAUAUAGAUAAAAAAUUGUUGCUGCAUUUGUGAUUUUUUUUUACUUUGUAAAUGUUUGUUCUGGAUUAUGUAACUUAGACAAUUGAAAAUUGCCUUUUUUCCUAUCUUUUUAUGAUAACUGCACAAGAUUUUAUAGCACUGUGAGAACCAAUUUAUCUGUGUGUCUUUCGAAAUGUAAACAAAAUAGGGUUUAAUAGUUGUUUUAGAAAUGAAUCCUUAUAUUGUUAGUAAAUUUUUCUUUUGUAGUAUCAAAAUUCUUGGACUUAUUGCCUUUUUGGUGUCUUCUGUCUCUUUUUAUGCCCCAGCUACAAUAGUAGAGGGGCAUUAUGUUUUCAGGUCUGUGCCUCCGUUCGUUAGUUCAUCCGUAGGUGCGUCCAUUCGUCCCGCUUCAGGUUAAAGUUUUUAGUCAAGGUAGUUUUUGAUGAAGUUGAAGUCCAAUCAACUUGAAACUAAGUACACAUGUUCCCCAUGAUAUGAUCUUUCUAAUUUUAAUUCCAAAUUAAAGUUUUGACCCCAAUUUCACGGUCCACUGAACAUGGAAAAUUAUGGUGCAAGUGGGGCAUCCGUGUACUAUGGACACAUUCUUGUUUUUACAAUGUUUUCGGGUUUUUUUUAUAGGAAGAAGAGCACAGAUUACAACAAGAACUAACAGACUUAGCCAUUACUUUGAAUAUGGAGGCUCAGAAAGGCAGAAAGCAACAAUUUGAUUUGAACAAGUAUGUACCCUUUCAUAUACUGUAAAUUGAACUAAAGUCAGAAAUUAUUUUGUGCAUUUAUUAUUUCAAAUUUGUCAUUUUAAAAUAAAAUGCAUUUUUUGGUUUUUGUGAUACAUGUAUUGAGAUAAUUUCUGUUUCAUAUAAAAAUAAUCAAAAUAAAUGUGAUAAUAAAAUAUCUCAAUAAUUUCUGAAUUAACAGUACUUGUUUAAAUAUCAACAGUACAAAUUUUACUGUAUCAGAUACAUAUUUCAAUAAUAAAUGCCUCUCCAGUGGAGCAUGAGGCCAAAAUAUUUGAAGAUCCUUAACAAACUCAUAAAAUUGCAGAGUAUAUAUUUAAAAAGACAAAAAGUAUUGCCAAAGCCUAUAAUCCUAGAUUUAGAAUAAUUUCCAAAGUAGGAAUUUUAUUAAGAGCAUGUUACAUACAUUAUUUCUAAUAAUUUUUUUUAUUAUAAUGAUAAAUAUACAAACAAAAUAUGUUGAUUUUGUAAGGUUGUAAAAUUUGUGCCAUUAUUUCAGAGAGAAGAAGCGACAGGAAGCCAACAAGAUAAAUGAAGACGUAUCAGCUGAUAAAUCUGUAGAAAAUAAAAUGAUGUAAGUAUGAAUAAAAAGGAGACAUAGCCAGCAACCAAACACCAACCUCGUGAACAAAAAACAUAUGGAGAUCAAUGUACAGUCUAAGUUUAUUAGAAUUCUCGUAUCGUUUAUGUGAAAUGUUUCACUUGGGAGAAAUUUUUGCUCCUUUUGUAUUUGAAAUGAACACUGGAAUAUUUCUACUUUAUUUUCGAAAAUUCACUACAAUGCUGGAAAAUUAAAUUUCACAAAGUUCCUUUCAAAUUACAUAAAGAUGACAAACAACAUAAAACUAUAUACUGGUCAAAGAGGAUUAUUUAAUUUUUUAAAGUAAACAAAAGGAUUUUUCUUUAAUCUUGCAUUUAUGGUUUUGUUUGAUAAACUGACUUAUUUUCCUUGUUACAUCUGACAAAAAUUAAUUUAGAGGUUGGCAUGUUUGGUUUUGUUUGAUAAACUGGGUUAUUUCCCUUAUUAAAUCUGACAAAAAGUAAUUUUGAUGUUUCCAUUCUGCAACCAGUUUGUCUGGACAAAAGCUACAAACCUCUUUAUUUUAAUGUUUAUAUUUACCAGGAAAAUCAGGUUUACUUUAACUCUUACUAUUUUCAAAUUCAGUACAUACUCAGUUCAUAGUCCACUUUUGAAUGGUUUUGAUUUAUUUAUUGUAUAUUGAAGAUUCGUUUAUUUUUGUGGAUGUCCAUUUUCUUGGAUUAAGGUGGUACCCAACACUUUCACUAAAAUUAAUUUGGCUCUUUUAAUUUUCAUAAAUCUUUUACAAAAUAUUUUCUUUUACCCUUUGACAAAAAUAUAAAAAUUUCAAAACAUUUGAACCAACCAUUUUAUCAGAAAAAUUACACUGGUUAUAUAGCAGUUUGACAAACACUAAUUUUGAUCAUUGAUAAACUUCAUAUUCCCUUAACAACACAACGUAAUUAAAACGUUUAGCUGAUUUUACAGAGUUAUCUCCCUGUAGUGUUAGGUACCACCUUAAGGAAAACUUACAUGUUCGUGGAUAUUUGAUCUUAUGGUUUUACAAAAGCCUUCAUACAAGCCUAUAGAACAUUUGUCAUCUGUUGAAUAUUUAAUUUCCACAAAAUCCACAAAAAUUGGUAUUAAAUGAAUAAUAAUGAAUCCACAGCAUAAUGGUAGUAACAGAAAAAGAUGAUCUGUUUCAUGUAUCACAUGAUGAUAUGUAGAUGUUUCACGUCUGGCUAGCCUGUCUGGAUAUUGCGGACUGGAAUAACCUAUUUUACAGACCGGUGUCUGUUUGUCUUUUGGCCUUCAUUUUACUCCGACUGUGUUGGUGUUGCUUGUAUGUAGUACCAGGUCGUGCUGCUAGCAUGGCUGUUUGUAUUGCCUUUUUGGAAUCUGUGUUGAGGACGGGUGAUGUGUGUGGUGGUGUGUGCAUUAGGUCUGGGUCGUCGAUGUCAAACCCAUGUAUCACAUUUUAGUAAGUAAACCCUAUAAAAGAGGAAUAUUUUUUUCUAUUAACAGGAGAAGUGAUGGAGACACCAAGGCAGCAGAAUCAAAUAAAAGAAAAUUAAGUGCUGAUUUAAAUGUAACUAAGUCACAUUUAGAUAUUAAAAAGAGGGAUGGUAAGGUUUUUUUAGAAAUUUUUUUUUAUCUUUCAUAAUGCUCGCUUCUGAAAUUCAACAUUGAAAUAUUAUAAUGAAGAAAGUUUCUUCAAUAGAUUAAGUAUUAUACAUCAAAAUUACCAAACAAUAAACUUUAAGAUCCACAACUUUUGUUUUUGAUAAGUAAUUAUUUGACUAAAGGCCCUUUUCAGCCUUUAGAAAAUAAAAAAUCAGGGUAUUUUAGCUGAAAGGUGUGGAAAAUUAAUAGGUACCAGUGAAUUUGAAUCACCUCAUCCAUAAAUUAGAUAUAAAGUGAAAAAUGUAAAAGAUUAGGACAAAUAAGUUCAUUAAACAUAGUCAGAAUAGUUUGGGAGACAAGUAAAAAUAAAGAUAUUUAAAAUAUGUACAUGUUUUGGAAGAAAAUGAUUGUGAAACAAUUGGGAAAUUUUGAUAGAAAUAUAUUUAAUUAAUUUUUUAAAAAGUGUAUUUGAGAUGUGGGAUUUGAAAAAAACAAAUUAUAAAUGCAAUUCAUUUUAUAAAAAAAGCAAGAGGUCACAAACUCGAAGCAAAGUACAGGUUUAAACAGGAUAAUGAAACAAAAAUUCGUCAGUGGUAUUUUGAAAGUUGAAUUUAAUUCUGCAUGAUUUAAUAUGAGUUUUGCUAUAAACUUCUAUAAUUGUAUAAAUAAACCAAUUGUUCAAGACGUUUCGGCCAUUGGCCUUCUUCUGUUGUUUAUUAUUCCUCUAAACUACAUGGCUGCCAUUUCUUUUUUCAAUCAUUGAAAAGAUGUUAUAGAUAAAUGUCCUUGGAAACGUCAUGACGUCAUAAUACUUUAAACUUCUAGUCAAUUAAAAAAUCUUGUACAUUUUAUUGAAGAAAUAAUGGUAUUCUUAGUGUUGUUGAUAGAGGGGAAGGGAAGAGAAGGAUUAUAUUGAAUAAGAUGAAAUGAAUUAGAAAGCUACUUUCUAUGAUAUGUAAAGAUACACCAUACAAAAAAACUUUAUUUUUUUAUUUUCAGAAACUCGUCAUUUAACAGAUACUCAGUUUAGGUUGACUGAUAAUUCUAACACACAAAGACAGUUAAAUGAAGCUGCUUUACACGCUGAAAUGGAUCUCAAAGCCAAACAGAUACAACAAAAAUUAGAGGUAACUAUUUACUUUUAUAUCAGCCUAUGAACACGGUGUAUCAUCGUGCAGCAGAUAUAGGUACAAACCAAGCGACCGUGAGCGAUUUUGAUCUUACACGGUAACAAAAAUCUUUGUUUUGUUCACAUCAUAUCAAUUUGUACUUCAAUCUAAAUGUAAUUGUUGUUUUAAGAAAUUAUUUGGUCGUAGGUUGAUGAUAAGAGAUGUCACAUUAUUUCCACAAACAAGACGAUUACUAAAUACAUGUGCAAAUACUUACCAAAGAAGUUGGCGCUUGUCUCAUUCGAUAUAAUUCUUCAUUAAUUGCAACUCUUUCUGAUAGAAGGCCACUGUGUGUGUGUGUAAUAAGUAUAGCUGUUUCAAUAAUUGGCAUUGAAAUCUUUCAUACAUAUGUUAUUUUUUCGAUAUUUUAUUCUGAAAAGAGAGUUCUGUAUGGUGUUUAGCUGACCACAUAAAUCCUUCUGUACGGUGCAUAGUUAAGUUGCUGUACACCGUACACAAAAACGUUAUUUUCAUACUCGUUUAUUACCCAAAAAGUUUCAAGGAAUGGGUAAUCACAGGAAGGUUUUGUAACUAUUACAUUUGCCCUGAAUUAGCUUUCUUUCAGAUAGAACAUGUACCGGUAAAUGUCUCGACAACUGUAUCGAAAUUGAAAGUCAGUGUUGACAUUCACAACUAUUUGCACAAGUUAAUUGUUCUUAUUAGAAUAUCAAAGUUGUUCUUUAAAUAGGAAAAAAUUGAUGUGAAAAUUACUUUGGAGCAGGAAUUUCAGAUGUUGAGAAAUGUACAUUAAAUAUUGAUAAAGCAAAAGAAAGAUUUUUGUUACCGUGUAAGGUUAAAAUUGAUCAUGCCCGCUUGGUUAGUACCUAUAUUUGCUGUACUGAUGAUAAACGGGGAUAAAGACUAUCCAUAUUUGAAAAACAAAUUCCUAACAAAACACAAGACGUUUUAGGAGUUUCUUCUCUUGAAUCAAGUGUAUGAAUUUUAAUUUUUUAAAUAAUGAAAUAUCUUACUUCUCAAAGAUACUUUAGUUUCAAGCUAACUAUGCACUUCUUUGCAUCUAUAAAUAUCAAAAAUGGAGAUGGUACUUUUCACCAAUAAUGUGCAUACACAGGAAUUUGAUCUGGCAUUUCCAUUGCAUUUUAAGCCAAACUGUUUCAUAGCAUUUUAAGGUAUGUGAUGUUGUAUUAUUAAAAUUUGUGUUUGUAAAACAUUAAAAAAAUGUUAAAUUACAGUAUUUUCUACCUUUAACCAUUGGAAUAUUACAGAAAAAGUUCACCUACUUAUUUAAGAAAAUUCAUUGCCCAAGAUAUUGAGAAAGUUGAAUUGCAAAACUCUAAUUCAGCAAUUACAAGACAUCUUGCACAGUUAUUUCUGUUAAUAUCUCUAGCUGAGGUUAUGGAGUUAUCUAAUUUAUCCUAUAUCAAAUCAAAAAGUUCUACUAGAGUUGUCUUCCUUUGACUAGAGUUAAAGGUUGCCGUCUUGUAAUUGACUGCUCCAUAGGCUUACAUGCAAAACAGCUGAUCUUUGAAAAUAAAAAAAUAAAAAAUGAUACAUAGAAAAAAAAAUUCAUGUUCAUAACAUGUAUGUACUAAUGUGAAAUUGUGAUUUAAUCGGGAAAAAAAGGGGGUCUUGCCACGAAGAAUAAAAAGUUACGCAAUCCUGAAGUCAAAACAUUGUUUUUCUACUUUCUGUUUGCUAUUUUUACUAGGCUGCACCACUUCCAGUAAACAUGAUAUCCUUCCACUUUCCUGGAUUGAUAUCCCCAAAAGAUGCAUGAUUUUUUUUAAAGUCUAUAUAUAUGUUUCAAUUCAGCAUAAACCUAUAAUCAAACAGAAAAAAUUGAGUUCAGAAAAAAUUCAGAAAAAAAUGCACUAUUUUGUUUCCCUCCAUGUUUUGACAUGCACCGGAAACUGGAGUUGUAAUACAAGACUGGUACCUAAACACGAGCAAUAUCCUUAUCAAAUCAAAAAGUUCUACUAGAGUUGUCUUCCUUUGACUAGGAUUAAACACCAGCAAUAACUUUUAAAUUAGCAUAGCGUAACAGUCAAUAUUUAUGGGAUCAAAUACAAACGUAAAUGUAGACAUAAAUGUACCUCAAACUUUUUGUACAAAAGUGAUAAGUAUUUAAACAUGAUAUUUAGGUAGACAUUUUAAAGGAUCGAAAGCUAUAUAUUAUAUGUCUUGCUUUUUGUCAUAAUUAAAUUCAGAAUGGGUUUAAUAUUUGUGUAUGACACAUUCCUAUAGGUUUUGUCCUUAAUUUCAAGACAGACAUGUAGCGUUUUUCAAAAUUUUUAAAUUACUAGACACUAGAACCAUAAUGAUAAAUUUACUCAUAUUCCAUUUUUUGAAAUUGCAAAAUUUUAUAUAAAUAUAUAAAUAUUUAAUUCUCACCCAAACAGUUUUGCAGAAAUUAUUCAACUAGUCUUUAAUGUUUCUAGAUGGAACCAAAUUUCACUGCAAUUAGAUUAUUUUUGUACAGACCUUUAGAAGGAUUUCACCUUAAUGAUUUUUGUACAGACCUUUAGAAGGAUUUUACUUUAAUGAUUUUGUACAGACCUUUAGAAGGAUUUCACCUUGAAAUACCAAAUAGUCUUGAAGUUUGAUCAAUUACUACCCUACUUUAAUGAUACUGUGAUAAUGAUAAGAAAACUUUGAGAAGAAUAAAUGUGAUUUGUAUGUUUUCCUUUUGAUCUUACUAAUAUCAGGGGAUUACAUCAUAUAUACAAUGUAAGGAAAGCAAUCUCACACAUUCAUAUCAAUCCGUCUCAAUUUAUCAAUGAAAUGUUUGCAACUUCAUUCAUACAACGGAACACCUAUAACAUAAAUAUUAUUAUUUUGUGAAAAUGUUAGUUUGUUUAAAGAUAUGAUUCAAUGUUUCAGAAUCGAAUGCAUUCAGGGGUUUUGGUCAAGGUAGUUAAAUGAAGUUGAAGUCCAAUCAAUUUGAAACUUAGUACACAUGUUCCUUAUGUAUGAUCUUUCUUAUUUAGAUGCCAAAUUAAGAGUUUUGACCCCAAUUUCACAGUUCACUGAACAUAGAAAAUGAUAAUGCGAAAGGGGCAUCUGUGUACUAUGGACAGAUUCUUGUUUUAAUUUAAUAUAGGAAUAAUAAAAUUACCCACAAUUCUUAAACUUCUAAAAACAUUAUAUAUAUAAUUUUAAAACGAUUACUAAUUCCUUCUCAAUGAAUGUUUGAACUCAGUGAAAGGAUGUUUCAGCCUAAUAUUGGAACAAUCAUUAGAUAAUGUGCAUACAAAGUGCAGAAUUAUGUGGCCAUAAUUAAGAACAAAUAUAUUUUAAAUUCAUUUAGAAGUAAAACUUUAAAUAUGUCAUUUUGUCCUCGCUUAAUUUAGCUUACAUGUAAGUCUGAAGUGAAGUUGAAAAUGUCAAGUCAGUUUAACAUUGUGACCGACUAUUGCAAGCACAUAUUAAACUCAAAACACCUAUGUAUUUUCCAAUAAAAUGUGACCAUCCCGUACAUUGAUUUAGAUGUAAAACAUAUAGUUUUAUUUUAAUAGAUAUUUUAUGGAGUAUGAAUAUUUUUGUAUACCAGUCACCACAAGAAAGUAUCUAUCUAAAACUGAAUGCCUCAAAGUACAAAGGAAAAAUUUACAUCUUAAUAGUCAUAUAAAGUCAUACCAUUGCAUUGAUAUGAUAUCCAUAAAAAGAUGAAAUAAACAAAUCAAAAGUCUACAGAAAGGCAAGUGUAAAAGUGAAGAAAAAAAAUCAACAGCUCUUUUUCAUUAAAUGUUUCGUUGUUGAAAAGAUAAGUGAGAAAAAUGUAGCUAUGAAGAAAUUAAACUUUUUUUUUAAAAGUAAAUUUUAUCAAAAAUUAUUAAGUGGGUUUAACAAUUUUCUUCAGAUACUAUAGAUGAAAACAUUUCAUUUAUCUUAUGUAAAUGGAGUCAUAAUUGAGUGCAUUUUAAACACUUUUCUUGACAGUAAUGUUUUGAGAUGUCAAUUUCGCUAAUUGUCGUACAUUUCACCUUAAUACAUUACCACAUCUGCAGGUGUUGUACAUUACAAAUUGAUAUAGGUUUAUUAGUUAUAGAUGAUUUAUGGGAAAACUGUUUUGAUGUUGAUGUAAACCUAUGUUUUUAGUAUCAUUUUUUUUCAUUUUACUAUAAUAUAGAAAUUUUAUCCUUAUAAAUGGAAACAUUCUGUAUAAUUUAAGAAUGAAAUAUGGAUGCCAUUUGUUUUCACUGCUGUAGGUCUAGUUAUAGUCAUCAUAUGGCAUACAGGGCACAGGAAAGUAGUCAUUUUCUUUUUCGUGAAUCUUUAAUUUAAGGUUCUCAAAGUUUAUAUUUAAACAAAGCAAUAGACAUAGCACUAUUGUACCUUUACCUAAAGCAUCAAUUUAGUGAAAGUCUACAUGACAAAUAAUGAAGCCAAGAAAAUCAAUUAACCAAUUCAGUUUAAAAGAGUGGAACUGCCUCGGUGGUUCUUUGGCAGUAUGCUAGCCACAAGUGUUGAAGGUCAUAGUAGGUUGGAGUACAUGUAGGUGAAAAAUGGGAGAGCUUUGUAAUUCUCAGUAAAAAACAUCAUUUUAUUUAAUUGAAACAUCCUUUUUAUCCUCCAUCUUCAAAAUAGGUAUCUAUGAAAAUAAAGAUUCCACAUUCAAAUUUAUGAAAAACAAAAUUUUACGAUUUUUCUGCUUUUCAUAAGAACCAUAGACAAAGUCAUACAUGUAAAAAUAAAAAUUCUCUUGAACACUUACUUACUUAUAGAUUUUAGUGACUGGUUUUUUUUUUUUAUCUUCAAUUGUAUUGUAACAUGUAAGUUGCCUCCCUUUAGUUGUAAGUUAACUUUCUCCCUUUUCAGAGUUAAAAUCAUUACAUAAUAAGCAAAAUUCUUUGCUCAAAUUAAACGAAAUAAGAUAUAUGAAAUCUGGCUUCCAAUACAAGAUCAUAUGUGCAGGUAUAUAAGAAGCAUAGCUUUUGGUACAAGUUAAAAGUGAAUUGGUACACAAAACUAUACAGCUGUAUUUUCACCCUGUCAUUAUCAAAUUUGAGGACCAAUUUUAUUUGUUCAGUAUAUGUAAUUCUUAUCUACAAAAUAAUUGAAUUGCUUUUUUAAAGACAAAUUGAGAAAAUCAGUCAUUUAUCUAGUAUCUGUUUGAUUUUCCUGAAGUACAUUAAUCUAAAUUGAUACUUUAAUUAGUAUUUAAAUAAGAACUUUCAUAGAUUUGUCCCAGUGUUAAUGUAUUCCCACGUUUCUAAUAUUAGUACUACAACCAAAAUUAUAAGAAUUAAUUAUAUCUUAUUGUCAAAUCUUCAAAUUUUUUAAAUCAGUAGCUGUUUAUUUGGUGUUUUCAUGUAAAAAGUGAUUACCUCCCAAAAUUUAAACGGAAAGAUAAAACAUACUUCAAAUAAUAGAAAUAUUAAACCAGCUACUAAUUAUUUUUGAUGUUCCUCAAAGGACAAACAAAGAUUGCAAUGCAAUCGGAUAAAUUACUCCAGGGGUUUCCAUAAUGGUAUAAACAGUGUUAAAUAUCGCUUUCACAAAAUUACAAUUUGACAACAGCUUUUGCCGAAGGUACAAAAGUUUACAGGAAACCCAAUAACAUUUAUGUUAUUGUCACAUCGUAAACUACCCAUUUUGUGAACAUCAAUCUCGGGGAAAAUUAUGUGUUCAAAUUACCAAUUGAUGUUUUUUGACUCGUAACAUUACUUGGCUAAUUUUACAAUGUACUUAAUUUUUGUCACUGUUUGUAGCUUCUGAUACGGAGAAAUGUCACAACAUGGCACUAGUUAAAAGUAGUGAUCAGUAAGAUCUAGAGAUGAUAUUUUAAAACAUUCUAGUGACACAGCAUUAUUUGGUCAUUAUAGGUCACGUUUUUUUUUUUUAGGGUUUCUAAAAUGUGUAGGUUUUAGGUACAUUAUUAAAGGUCUGGUCAUAAUUUUACUUUCAAAGUAUAACAAACUUUUUAGAUAAAUUUGUAAAUACUUGCUUCUGAAAUGAAAUAUAUGUACUAUAAAAUUAUGUGACUAUAUGCUUAGAUAAUGUUCUAUGGUAUUAAGAUUGAAAGUAUGCAAGGAAAGUUUAAGAUAUUAAACAAGAAGAAAUAAUUUGAAUAUCAAACCUUCUUUAUUUCAAUUAUUUUCUACUUCUUCAAAUUUGACCUUCAAGCAUUAAAUAUGCAUGAAAUGCUUGCCACUUGACGUUCAAUUUCCAACACUCAAUCAAUCAUUAAUUAGGAAACAAGACCUGGAAUCAAUGAUAAAGCAGACACUUUCUUUUUUCUUGGACUUUUUAAAAUGUGUAAAGUUUACAUGAUAAGUGAAAUUAAAGGGGAAACUCCAGACUUCUGAAUAUUUUUUCACACUUUUAUAGACACUAAGACUAGUACUUCUAUAUUGCAUCCUAUAUCAAACUUAAUCCACUUCUGCCAUCAUGAUCAUGGGGUUUUACUUGUGUCUAAAACUAAACCACUUUUGAGGGUCUAGAUCAUUGAAAAACAAUGUUUAAAUCUUUCUUUUGGAGAUUUUAUAAUGCAAUGUUGUUGUCAAUGUCAAUGUUUUACUGUAAGCAGACAAUCACAAGCAUGUACUGGUAGACAUGCACUUUUCAUCGCAUUCAGUCCUUAGAGUUAGGGAGAAAAAAGGGGUAGGGGUUAUGUCACCUGCCACAUAAUUCAAGAUAAAACUCAAACUGAACUGAUUUUGCAAGAAAGACGGUAUUUAUACAAUGCAUAAAAGGGUAGCAGACAUUAAUAAAAAAAAUCCUUUUUUUUUUUUUAUGCCAAAUGUGUUACAUGUACUAACAAAAUUUCAAGGGAGAACACUCCGUACAACAGACCACAUACCCCUCUAGCACUGGACUUCUUUGAAACCAAAAAAAACAAACCUUGAACAACCCAUAGGAUUAUGUUAAGCCAGUUUUACAUCAUCACCAAUUACAUGAAUGGGUUCAGUAAUAAAAUUUUCCCCCAAUUUUAUACAAUUUUGUGUUAAAAUUUCAUUCAUAUAUAUAUGAAUUACCUAAUUUAUCAAAAAUUUAGUAGGCAAAAUAAAUGAAUUUCUUGUAAAAACUGAAAUGCCAUGUGAAUAAAAUCAUAUUAUAUGAGAAUAAAUUUUAAUUUUAAUUCAGAUUGUGAAUAAAAUGUCAUCAGUUAGAAUUAAGGUAAACUACAAAUCAUUUUCUUUUCAAUUAAUAUGCAAUUGAAAAUGUCUUGAAAAUGUAUCAUAAUGUCAAACUGUUAUGAAAGAAAACACAAUUACAUAUUAAGAAUAAUCAAUUAAAUUCGUCAACUUUAAUAAUUUGUGACAUUCACAUUUAUUUUUAUGAAAAAAUCCCAAUAUUUGGUCUGCUCUUUCACAAUUAUUUUAAAUAAUUUUCAAUAUCAGAAAAAAAACUUUUAAAUGAAGCUAAUUAAUACAAUUACUAGUUAAAUUGUACAUCAAUUCAAAAAGCAAAAUGUCAACCUGUCAGAAUUCAAAUUGAGGCUAUAAAUCACAUUGUGGUUAUAAUACCCCCACAAAGCUGAAUACUUUGCAAUGUUUUUGUGUGAACUCCUGUGAAAUUGGAGAAAUUAGUUUAAUUGUGGCUUGAGUGAAUAGGUUUUAAACUGUUUUAUUGGGUCAUCAAAUUCACAACUAUUCCAAAUCAAAAUGGCUAAUCUGUUUGCAGAUCGUUAAAGACAGGUGCUCUAAGGUUGAUGUUUGUUUUUUUAUAACUUCAUCAGUUUUGUUAUUGAGUGUCUAAUUGUUAUAUUUCAGUUUAUGAUCAUAUUAGGAUUUGUUUGAAACUUCCAAAUAUAUUUCCCCAGUUUUAUUUUAGGAAAAUGUGCUGCAGUGCAAAUUAAUCUGACCUGCUAUUAAUUUCAAGCCUCAUUUUUGCAAUUAUUGUCAUUUUGUAUUUUUAGACAAGAAAACUGUUUUUUUGGACUAUCAGGUGUUUAUUGCACAUGUCCAUUAUUUCACAAUAUAACUAGGUGAAGUUGUAAAUUUUUCAGCAUUUACUUACAUUUGAUAUCAAUCACCUUUAUAUGUAAAUUGAAAUGUGGAAAUAACUGUUUACCAUGUUUACCAGUUAUUUAUAGCUUGUUAAGUGGGGAAGGUGUGGCACAAUAUACCAAGAGUUGACAGAUUUGUGCUUAUAUUAGCUGUCAUCAGCAACCAAAACCUUUAUAUAGAAGAUUUAAUUAUUUUUAAAAAUAGUGAAGAAUCAAAAACCACAAUAUUUCAAUUAUAAUGUGAGUGUCAAUAUGAAAUCAAUCAUGCAAAACAAAAAUGAUGCUUAACCGAAAAAAAAUCAAUGUUGCUGUACAACUUCAGUUUUUUUUGUUCAUUUAUAAUUAGGUCCCUUUUAGGCAUUCAAUCCCCAAAGUGAUUAUAUAUCUUUUUUUUUGUUACUUUUUUUCUGAGGGUUUCUAAAGUCAACCCAAAACUGCACAUUGAAUGCAGCUAAAUUUACUCUUUUUACUUGAAUGACUAAGUGUUGACUGCUCUUUGGUCAGGUUGUUGUCUCUUUGACAUAUUCCCCAUUUCCAUUCUCAAUUUUAUAUGUUAUUGUCAAAUGAAAUUGAAAAGUUCAAGAAUACUCAAUAAUAUUUGCAUGUUGCAUAUUGUCCCUGUGUGCUUGUUUAUUAUAGUCAUUGGUGUAUUUAAAUCAGUUGAUCUCAUUAGAUCUUGGGUCAGAUGUUAAAAAAUCCUAAAGUUCCAUGUGUAUGUCAAUGACAUUUAUGGCAAUUACAUAGAGUAACUUUGAAAUACAUGUAUAAGCAAAGUAAUAAAGUAUGAUAUAACAACCUUAGAACCUUAAUGCAGAUUCUGUAUCACAUUGCUUAGUAUAGAGCUUGAGACCAUCAUAAUCUUGUUGUUGGUGGGCUUUUAUAGGCUUGAAUGUUAAGAAUCCAAAAUACAUCGAUUAAAGCACUGUUCUUUUAAUUUUAUACUCAGAUGGCAUUAUCACGUCAGGCCUUGUGUUGUGAAAAGUCAUACCACAUUCUUAGCAAAUGGAGGAACAUUAAUUUUGUAUUAACUAUUUGAGGGAUUGAAAGGUGGAAUUUGAAAGCCAAAAUAUCUGCUCUUAUAAAAAAAAACUCAUUUAUCUUACCAGUUUUUAACCCACUUUCAAGGCCUGCAUUUGGGUUGCCCCACGGUGACUUUGCAGUUUUCUACCUUAAGUGGUGACUUGGAUUGGUGGCCAUCUGGAUUAUUAAAUCUCUUGUUUAAAAAAGUAACGGUCACACAUUUGUUUUGUUUUCAUGUUAUUAUCGUAACGACCCUGCAUUCCCAAAGUAUCCACUUGAUGGAAUCUACUGACAGAUGAUUUACCAGGCGUUGGUUCACUUGUAUUUUAAUUAAUUUGUUUUGUUUUCAGUCUCACAAUGCCAGAAGAGUACAUUAUAUGACAACAAAUUUGAGGAAUAAAAAGGAGAAAGAGGAAGCCCAGCAGCUUGUAUGGGAGGGAAGAUUUAAACGACGAAAUGCUGAUCAGGAAAGAAGGAAACAUGAAGACUCACUUAAAUUUUUCAAAGUAAGUAAAAGGGAGUAAAAAUAAAAUAUUUGUUGACCUGCUAUAUAUGUUAAUCUACAACAUGCUUUUAUAAAUCAAGACUGGUUUCAAUAUAUAAAAUAAUAGAGUUUUGUAAAGACUUGAGUCUUUUGGGUUUUUUCAUUUCCAUUUUCAAUUUGAAUAUAUUUAGAUAACUCCUUUUAUUAGAAAGAUACAACGUGAAUUUUGACAGAAUAAUACUUGCUAUUGCCAGCAUAUGAGUGCCAGUGCUUUCUUUUUUCAGUGCUUCAAAUACAUUUUCUACUUUAGUUGUUGGUUGUCAUCUUCCUUCAUUGCUUGUCUUUUUUUACAUAUCAAUCUGUGUUUAAGAACCAGUUGUCAUGCUUGGUAUCUUUAGUGCUUAUAGGUUAAGCUUUUUAGGGGACUUUGGUAAAAGAUUCUAGUCUCAUUAACCAUAACAUUAAAUGAUAAAAUUUCACAGAAAACCCCUUCCAGUUUUAUCUUAUUGACAUUUAAGUCAACAAUAACAAACAAUGUGUGUAUCUGCAUGUUUUCCGUUAGAUCAAAUGUAACAAAUAACAUUUGGAUUUUCCCUUUCAACUUGUUCAAUUGAGAUUUGACAAGGAAGCACCUUUUAUUUGUUACACGUAAGAAAAAUAGUUCUAUGCGUUUACUUGUGUCAUUACACAAAAAAAGAAGUCACAGAACUUUUGAUUGAGGAUUUAACUUCUUACCUACAUAAUAAAGAUCGUACAGAUGUUUUUUCAACUUACAAAACCACAAGUAUGAAAUUGAUUGCGGAUAUUUUUUGUCAUUCAUCGGGAAUGACAUAGCGUUCUUGUUUUUUCCUAUAUAUCAUACAUAAAUAUGACAUUGUGACUAUUAGUUAUAACUUGAUUAUUCGGUAAAUAUUUUUGACAUAAUAAUUAUAAAAAAAAUUAAUCAACUUGUGUGGUAAGCUAUUGAUGAAAUAGUUGUCGUUGAAAUUGAAUAGCCAUUCAUUUACAUUAUCGACCUUGUAAUGGUAGAUCCCUGCAGUUGUUUUGAGUUGGGAACAUCUGGUUAUUGGGGAUUAAAGCGACAUGAGCGUCUUUUUGUACUCUGAUAAAAGACUGAUUUUAUCAUUUUGUCACUUAAUUUGUUCAGACACAGGAGGACAUUCUGUUUCUAGAAUAUUAUAUAUCGAACCCAUUCAUCAUGGAUUUGACAAGAAUAAAUUUUAAGGUUUAAUGUCAAUUUAAAAUAUUUUUGUAGAACCAUGCCGAAUGUUGAUUUAUUUGUCAAUCACAAUUCACAGAAAAUAAAUUUCCAUGAUCACGAAUCAUGAAAAUAAAAAAAAUCUAGAAAAACGGAUCACAAUAGCGAAAAUGCGCCAAUCACGAAGAACGAAAAUAACCCAUCCGGCCCCUCAUUGAUUGAUUGAUUUGUUCUGGCUUAAGGUCAUCUCAGCAGGAAUAAGUUAUACUGUGACAAAGAAUCAAAAGAAUGUUAUGUGAUAACUUAUAUUUUGGGAUAAGAUUUUAUUUCUGAACCAACAUGAAAGUCAGCAUUUAAGUUUGACAUUUAAUGAUUAAGCAUGUUAAUGACUUUGCUCAAUAUUUUCAGUCAGAGAGGAAUCAUAUACCCUAAUCCUAUGAUGCUUUUAUGUUGCUUGAUGGCAUCUAGAUGUGGAUAUGUUCUCUUCUGUCUUGUUACCGCUGUUGUUCUUCCACAUGAUAGUCCUGCAACUUCUUUAAUUUUUUAUGCAUAUAUAUGUGAGUGCUUGGGUUUCCAAUCCCGAAACAUUAAUACUGGUACUUAUAGAAUUUAGAGAUGACAGACAAAACAUGUCUUUCUGGGAGACUCAAAAACUCCAGAGGUGUUAAUUACUGAUUUUUCAGUUGUUGGUUUUAAAAAAAAACACAUCAAUUUUACCAUGUCUAAUUGUCUACGUCUAGUCAUGUACAUAUAGAACUUAGAGAUGUCAGACAAAACAUGUCUUUCUGGGAGACUCACAAACUUCAGUGGUGCUAAUUAUUAUUAUUUUUUUUUUAAACUACCAAAAAAAUGUGAAAAAUUGCUAACAAUUUAUUGUUUGUUUAUACCAUUCUUUUGUAAGUUUUUUGGAUGAGCAAAUUUGAAAGUCAAUACCUCAAUGAGUGGUCCUGAGUUUUCUUCCUUGAAUCAUAUUUUUCUGAUUUAGGACAAUUUUAUGGACAACUGAAUUAAGAAGGUUGUCUUUGAAAUACCCCCAUAUAUUAUCUCUUAAUCAUGAAUAAAAUCUUUGAUGUGUCUAGUCAUAUAUAUAGAAAGCCAUUUGUUCUUUAUAAUAGUUUUAGUAAGAAUGGCACUAAACCAUAUUUUUUAUUCUUGUUAAUUUUUGUACCAGUCAUUAUAGUUUAAAUGCAAAUUUUCUUGUUUUUUAAGAAAAUGGUUAACAAAGGAGAAGACCAAGAAAAGAACUUAUACAAUCAAGUUAGAAACUCUGAAUAUGCUCGACAAAAACAAGAACAAAACGUUAGACGAAUACAACAACAGUUAGCAGAGAUCAAACGCAAAAAUUCUAUUAAAAUACGGGAAGAACUUUCUGAGAGACAGCGGGUGGAGAGAGAGAUAGAACAAGCAUUCAUAAGGGAGAAAGCAGAGUUGGAUAAGGUAAGAACAUGGUUCCAUUUACUUUUAAUAUCAUGAAGACAUUUAUAAUGUUUACAUGGGAAUGAAAGCAAAAAGCAAAAUCUUGUAGCAGAUGACUGUAAUGUGCAUCUUGAGAUUAGUCAGCUUAUGACGAUUAAAGGAGUGCUCCUCAUUAGAAGGAGGAAGUUACAGAAAAGAAUAUAUACAUGGCCUUUGGCUGUUGUCUGCUCUUUGGUUGGGUUGUUGUCUCUUUGACACAUUCCCCAUUUACAUACUCAAUUUUAUGGUAAAUCCUUUUGUAUCUAGCUAACAAAAUUAUUGGUAAGAUUUGCUUUCAAAGUCUUCUUCGUGAAUGUUUGUCCUGAUCAAGCAUGCAGUUUAGUGGAAGGUUCAAAAGGUUCUUUAUAACCUGUUGACAGUAAAACAUUUGACUUUUCUAGUUUCAAAUGGUGUUACUCCAAAAGUGUUUAACUGGUGAAUUUUAUUUAAGAUAAAAUUUAAAAUUGGCUAUAGGUAGUUGGAAGUUAUUAUUCUAGUAGUUUUACAUAACAUUAAUGAAUUCAUAUUGAAGGUCAGUGGUUUUUCUCUAGGCAUUCCAACAUCCUCAACCAAUUAAAACUUGUUGCUACGAAAUAACCCAAAAGUGGUGCUUAAAAGUGGCGUUAAACAUCAAAAUGUAUGUUGGUAUAUUUGCAACUUUAUAUAAACCAUCGUCUUAAGACAAAAUCUUCCAUUCUGAAGAUUACUUUUUUUUUUUUCAUUUAGAAAAAUCUUUCUAUAGUUAUCUCCCGUACAAAACUUGUUUAUGCUGAGAUCCUUUGUCAAGUAUUUACAAAUUUAUUUUAUUCUCAUGUGACACAAAUUGUUAUAUGGCAAAUUACUUUUUAUGACCAAUUAUAUCUAAAUAUAUUAUAAUGAGGACUAAUUUACUAAGUGUGUUCCAAAAUUGGUUACAAAUUGUUGAACAAACAAAAUCAUUAACAUAAAUUUGGAAUUACAGUCCUAAUGCAUCUACUGCUAAAGAAAUGACGAAAUUUCUGACGUAUUUGACGCCGACUGUUUUUGUGCAGAAGGAUCAGAUAAGAUAGUGUUAUUUAAAAGAGUUGUUGACAUUCAUUAUAAAGAUAUGAAAAUAUUAAAGAUGGCAAUUUGUCAGAGAAUAGAUUGAAAGGAACCACAAAACUUGAAUUUUUAUGGUUAAUACCUAAUAACGCACUUCAGUGAUUUUGAAAAAUGUUUAUAAUUUACUGACAUUAAUAAAGUACUAUACUUUUUAUAAUUUGUUUAUGUCAAAAGUUGCAUUUUAUAAUUUUUCCCCUUACAAAACAUGCUUUUAGCUUGUAUAAUUUUCAUUCAUUCUUGAAUUCUACGAAUCAUUACGUUUCAACAGAGUCUAAUUGUGUCAUUAUUAGUAGGGAAAUAAAAUGUGUAUUACCUAAACACUGAUAUGAUACCUGUUUAUGUAUUACAAACUUGUGACUUUAAUUUUCCAUAAGAAUGAAAAUAGUAAAUUGAUGAAAGAAAAAAAUGUUAUUGAGUAAUAAACAUUAAAAUAUGACAAGAAGUGUUAAUAUGUCCUUGAAAUUAAAACAUGAAAGUAAUUUUAAUUACGAUAACAUUAAAGUAAUGUCAACUUAUAUUUCAUAAUGUUUUUAAAGGAGUUGUGGAAAAAAAUAAAAGCAAAAGAUUUCUAAAAGAGGACAAUUCCAAGUUAAAGAUAAAGUAGAUAUAUUCAUUUAAUUUUUGCUGUUAAAAACGAUUCUUAGCUUUUAAACAAUUUCAGACCAACACUUAAGCACACUUAUUAGACAGAAAUACAUGUUAAAUUAACAUAUAUGUUUAAAAUCUUUAAGAUUUACAACAGAAAAUUGCUAUCAACAGGAUCUCAUAAACAAUUAAACGAAAAAAUUGACAAGGUUUCUCACUUGUAACAGGGACAUGUCUUUAUGCAUGGGGAAGCUUGAAGUCUUUUAAAUGCGGGGGAAUUAAGGUUUACCCUUGCCCAUCUGUUCUGACAUACUGGUGUCCGGAAAUUUGUUUCCGUACUCUAACUUUAGUCUGCUUUGACCAAAUUUUCUGAAGGCUUAUUAUCACCAAACACAGUUCAAGUUGGACUUAAGACAGGGCAUCAUCACUUAUACUGUUCACUAGUUAACAAAAUACUGUUUGUUACUGAAUAAUAAGUCAGCACUCAAACCCCAGGUCAAUCCUUUAUGACAACAUACAGAAACAAAUGUCAUUAACUUUCAAUAGGACGAAUAGGUUUGAAUUUGUGAAUGAACUCAUAUUUAUUUAUAAGCAAGGCCAUCUGUGUCCCAUGGACCAUAUUCUUCUUUUAUUUUAUCUCAAUGUGGCCAAUACAUGCAAUAGUAAAGUGCACAUAAAUAUUAAUUGGAAAUCAGCAAAUAUAAAUUGUACAUACGACAAAAGGUCAUGCCCUUUAAUAUUUAGGUCACAAAUGUUGUCCUUAAAGUUCAGCACAUAAAUCAUAAAUAGUUAAUUUUUAAGAUUGAAUUACUUUAUUUUUCAAAACAAUUUUAGAUUUUCAAUAUGUUGCGGGUUUUCCCAUUCAAUAAAUUCUUGUUAAUUUAUCUUUUCAUCUGAUUUUGCUUGUUAACAGUUGUCACCAUUCACAGGAAAAUUGUUAGAUUAUUUUUAUGAAUGAAUUUUAAAUAUAAGGCACCCAAAAAGGGAAUCAACUGGUCAGACUGGUUUGAAAAGAUACAACUCUAAAUGGUUCCCCAGUGGCGGAUCGAGGGUGAGAGUUCUGGCGUUUGGGACAAUUUUUUUUUUACAUACAGUUGGAACCCCCACUUUCUCUUGGAUUUGGAUCCCCCUCUUUUAAAAAUGCUGGAUCCGCCCCUGUUCCCAUAACUAAUUUCAUCCUCAAGGUCGUUCAGUAAUUAUGUAGUCAGGUAAUCAGUUUUGAGGAAAUUGAAUCGGUAAUCAAGUAAUCACAUAAUCAUGAUAAUAGCUGAGAUAGAGGCAAAAUGGAAGGCAUGUAUGAUGUAUGACUUACCCUUACACAAAAUGUUCUCAAAAUCGGUACUUUUUUUUUCACUGAACUAGUACACAAUAUAAUUUAGGGGCCAGCUGAGACCACCUCCACAUUCUUGAAUUUCUCGCUUCGUUGAAGACUUAUUGGUGGCCUUUGGCUGUUGUAUGCUCUUUGGUUGGGUUGUUAUCUUUUUGACAUAUUCCCCAUUUCCUUCUCAAUUUUACAUGUGCACAUAUAGAAAAUGAUUUCAUUGUUCUCUAAUAAAGAAUGGCUAGUGGCUAAAAAGUACAAAAGUUCCAAGUAGUUAGAUUUGUAAAUGGUAAUGCAUAUAUUUAUUAGGCAAUGUUCACACUGUUGAUAUGUUUGAAAUUCUAAAUAAAAUAAUAACAAAAUAUUCAAUUCCCCAAAAGGGCCUCUCUGCAGGUCACAUUAUUUAGACCACCACCGUUGUGUAUGACAUACAGUUAAUCUCCAGUAAUUUAUGUCUGUACUGUCCAGAUAAUAAUCUCUACGGCCAUUGUUCUUUACAAGUCUUGAUCAAUUAUUUCUUUUGAUUUUUAAUCUUACUUGAAAAGGAAAAGGUUGAAAAUACUUUUUUUUUGGGUUGUUUUGUUAUAAAAAAAACUAUAUUUGGUGACAUUGAGAAAAGGGUAGGUAUUGUAUUUUGUCUGCUAAGAGGUCAAGUUUUGUUCAUAAAACAAUUGAGUCCUUGUCCGACUCAUAUCGUAAAAGGUUAGAAUUAAGUCUGGAUUUUAAAAUGUUUGUUGUAUAUGUAUGUUACCUUAUAAUUAUGAUUUUUUUUACUUUGAAAUUUCUUUUGAACUAUGAAAGGCAUGAGUUUAAGAUGAUUAGGGUCAAAGGUGAAUCAGACAAGAUGAAAGUUACCACAUUCAAAUCCAUAACAGUAGUCAAAGUAGUUAGGACAUCUCUCUUUUUAAAAUAGACAAAGUUGAUCAGUUUAUAUACAGUGCUGCAUUGUGAGGGUUUCUUCUUUGCCUUGGUGGUAUUUAUGUUCAGCAGCUACUUUCUUUUUUAUCGUACAGCACUGUUUGUUUGUUUUGGUGAAUAUUUUAAAUUUAUUAUAAAUUCCUUGUAAAUUACCAUAUGUUUUUGUGAAUAUUUUUAAUUUAUUAUAAAAUCCUUGUAAAUUACCAUAUGUUUUGGUGAAUAUUUAAAAUUUAUUAUAAAUUCCUUGUAAAUUACCAUAUGUCUAUACUGUAGUUUGACCAAUUUAAGUGGCACAUCAAUAAGAAAUAAUGGUGGCCACCAAACGACAGUAGCAGAAGUGCUUGUCAUUGGGUACCUUUCCUUCAUUAUAUAUUUGAAAUCUUUUUUUAAAUUUUUGAAGAUGUAUAAAUUUUAUUCUUAAUUGAUUAAAUAUGUUUUCCUGUAGUAAACAGUGUUGUCCUAAUCAAUCUAUUUCUCUAAUAGCAUUUUUUUUAAAAGACAAUUAAAAUAAUGAGACGUGUGGUAAUUUUUAAAUUCACUUUCAAAUAUCCCCAAAAUGUUUGAAAUAAAACAUUUUAAAUAUCUGCUUUAUCUAUAAUAGAAAUGCAUUUUCAUUAUCAAUGUGCAACAAAGACUAUGUAAAUAUUGCUUUUGAGUCAGAAAAUUAAGAAUAAGAAAUUAGAAGAUUUUCUUGUAAAAACAGGAUUAAAUUUAAUACUGGCUGAAGUUCAAUUAAUCUUUUGAACUUUACAAAUAAAAAUGUAAAUUGUGAUUUUAUUGACCUCUCAUACCAUAAGUGAAAGUCAAUGUUUGUUUUGGAUUUAAGGUCUUAAAUCUGUGUCAUCUAGCCUGUCAUCUUGACUUUAGUCCUUGGUAAAUAAUCCAACAGGGUUAGUUAUCUAGGGAAAACAGAGAUUGAUUGUAAAAUACAUGUAGGGUAUUAUGCACUGUUAAAGACAUUUAGUGAGUACAGACAUAAAAUCUUGAUAUUCGAUUGCAAUACAAUUGUGACAUUAAUAAAUCCAAAACAGAUGCAGUUUUCAGUAGAUGUUGUGGAAAAGAAGACCACAAGAGUUAAUUUUCCUUUGUUGCUGGUAAAAUUGAAACAUCUCAGAUCCUAAACAAGAAAAAGUUACUUACAAAUGAUUUAUUUAUUAUCAAUAAAAUUUUCUACAGAAGAAAUUAGAACUAGUUUGACAUUUAACUUUAUGUUCUAUAUAUAACAUGUAUAAACAAUUAAAGAAAAAAUAACUUAACUACAACUUCAAAAAAACCUAGCAACCCUUGUCACACAUGUGUUUCAUUUACUAUAUUCUUUUGUUUUUACAUUAAAUUAUUCAGAUUAAAAUUGAACUCAAAAUAAAGCCUCAGAAUGAAAGAAUCAGUCAAAUAUUUUUCUAAGGCAUCUUUCCUCAUAGAGCACUUUGUUCUGAUCUGAAGAAAAUUCAUGUAACAUUUUUUCUUUCUAAUUAUUUAGUUACAAUUGAUUUAAUCUGUAUGAUACAAUUAGGUUACAAUGUUAACAAUUUGUUACAUUACUAGAUAUUAUCAGCCUACAUAACAAGAGUAAUGAUCCGUUAUUACCUGUCAUUAACACAAAUUCACCAUUUAUCACAAUCUGCAGGAGGGUUCCAUGAGCAUUAUCAAGCUUGUCACAUGAUCCCCAUUUGUCACAGUUUGCUGGAGGGUUCUGUGGUCAGCAGUUUGUCACAUUCUGUAGAUCCUGAUGACAUUGCUCUUACUGAAUUAAGAAUACAUUGAUAUAAACUCAGCACUUUCUUUGUAUUGUUUUUAUCUUGUAGAAAAUCAGUAAAAAUACUGAUUGAACCUAGUUUUCCAGUUGAAAUCCAACACCCCUCUUUGUUGAUUGAUUCAUUGAUUGAUGAAAACUGCUCAAUUUCUAGUGACAAAUAUUGCAUGCAUGUUCAGGAAUAAAGCCUUAUAAACCCAGUUUUCACUAGACCAACAACUGAACCGUAGUCUAAGCUUUUUAUAAGCUUAGCCUACAAUCUGCUGUUAUACUUUCUGGACACAAAUUGUUCUACCUGAAUUGCAAAGCAAUUGUUCCAUUGAUCCAUUGUUAGCAUUUGCAUAUUGCAUGUAGAUAAGUACCAAAUGAAAAUUUUGACUGUUUUAUUGACAAUCCCCCAUGUUUUUUAUUCAUACCAUAUUCUUUUAUACCGGUUAAUAUCAAGCAGUAUUUAAUAACUUAUUCUCAAAGAUUGCUUUUGGUGUCUGAAGUUUAAAGAUUGUUCUCCAUUCUUCAUGGCCCCCAAGUUUCAUUAUAAUUGGACAAUAAUUAGAAUAAAUAAGGUAUAUGAUAAUAGAACCCUUCUACCUUGCUUUGAUAGAGAUUUAUAGUAGAGUUUAACAUUUCUAAAUAGGAGAGAUAAAAAUCGACAUAAAUUCUGUUUAGCCAAUUAUGGGAUUAUAAAUAAGACAAAAAGGGUCAGGUACUUGGAUAGAUCAUAGUAACAACAAUUUUAUAAUGGUUGUGACCUCUAAAUCAAAUAUAAAGGUCGCUUAUAAAAUGAUUUUAUCCUUCUUGAUAAAGCUAAUUUUCUAACAUGAAAUUUUGCAUUGCUUUGCACUGCAUUUGUAGGGUCAAGGAUAGAUUUAUAUGACUGUGCGAGAUCUUGGCUAUAUUUCAUGUAUUUUGUCUGAAUGUUAGAAUCUUUAAUUAUGUUAUACUUUUGUUUAUGCAUAUGAUUACAUGUUCAUGCUUGAUUAAACUUUUUCUGUCUUUAUGACUUUUUUCAUUUCUUUGAUUUUCCAAAAAUUUGGCAAUGAGUACUUAGUUCAUGCUUGAUCGAACUUUUUAUGUCUUUAUGUCUUUUCUUAUUUGUUUGAUUUUAAAAAAAUUGGCAUUGAAUACAUGCAUUUAAUGCAUCAUAAAAUAGAUAUUUUGUUUGUAUGUUUUUUUUAUGUUGAUUGUUGCAGAAAAAAAUGCAGACAGUGCAAAUUGUAUACUUGAAUUGAAGUUAGUUGAAAUGAAAUAUAGUUAUUUAAGGAACUGCAACUAAGUUAUCUUAACUGUUAUUGAAUUUUCUGGAAAGCAUUCAAAUGUAUACAGUUUAAAUUGUUACAUGACAUACUAAAAAUAAAAAGCAGUUCAUGUAGAAUUUCUGAGAUGAAACUGCUAAAUUGAGUGCUUGAAACAAAUGACCACCUAGUUAUUUCUGAGAAAUUAUUUUUGCCGCAUAAUACCAGCACACAGUCAUCUAACUUGUUUCCAAUAGCUUUUGUAACAAUCUUGUAAUUUUUCUUUACUAUUUAGAAGACAAAUUUGUAAACAUUCACCAGUUCUGUGCUGUAUAUACAUAUUGUUGAAUUAUUAAAAAGAAGAUGUUGUAUGAUUGCCAAUGAGACAACUGUCCACAAGAGACCAGUCUCAGCAAUUUGUAGAACAUAGAAAGGAGAAUAUAUUCUCAUGGUGUUUUUUCUGAGCAAAGUACCUUUAUAUAGAUAUUUUGAAAUUAUUUAGACAGAAUGUUGUUCAAGAUAAUAAAAAAAAAAAUUGUUUGGUAUGACUCAUUAAAUGUAAGUUCUUCUUGAAAAAACAAUUAGAAAAAUGCAUCAUUAUUACUGGUAAAUAAAUAUUUAAGGUCGAAAAUGGUGAAAAUUGUGAUUUUUUGGCUAUUUGCCUAUGUAAAAUGACAUGUAAAGUUUCACCUCUUCAUAUUUUUUAUUCUAAUAAAAAAAAAUUUAAAAAAAUUUGUGUUUUCAUUGUCCUUUUUCAUAUGAACUAUCUGGUAAAGAAUUUAUUUGAUUUUGAUAGAAGUACCUUCGGACCAUUUUGCAUGGUUUUCUGUGAUACUUGCACUUAAGAGGAUGGGCAUAUUUUUACAUAAAUCAGGCCGUUAGUUUUCUUGUUUGAAUUGUUUUACAUUGUCUUAUCGGGGCCUUUUAUAGCUGACUAUGAGGUAUGGGCUUUGCUCAUUGUUGAAGGCCGUACGGUGACCUAUAGUUGUUAAUGUCUGUUUCAUUUUGGUCUUUUGUGGAUAGUUAUUUGUCUCAUUGGCAAUCAUACCACAUCUUCUUUUUUAUAUAUUUAAGCAGAUAUCUCCUGGAUUCUUUACAGAGUUAUCUCACUGUAGUAUUAGGUACCACCUUAAAAUGAUGGUCAUAUUUAAGCAGAUAUCUCCUGGAUUCUUUAUGAUCAUCUAUGGAGAACAUUGUAAAUGUUUAUGAAAAGAUUAGAAAAAACUGUCUUAUUGGGUAUUUCAGCUUCAUUAAUUUUAUAUUAUCAAGACCCAUAAAAGUUACAUUUGUUGAGGUUUGUUACCAUACCCAUAGUGUAAUUUUGUACCACUAAGAUACAUCUUUAUGCCCCGUCUAUGAUAGUUGAAAAGAUAUAUGUUUACUGGUCUUUUAGUCUGUUCUUCAGUUUGUCUGUUCAUACCAAUGUCCUACAUACUGUUUUGUUCGCCUGUCAAUUUCGAUCAGCUUAAAAUUUUUGGUUUAUAAGGUAGUUUACUUUUUACAGUUUUAGUUUGUUACCCCGAUUUUGUUUUUUGUCCAUAGAUUUAUGAGUUUUGAACAGCGGUUUACUACUGUUGCCUUUAUUUACUUCAAAGCUUUGGUGAUAUCAACUUAGAACAAAAAAUAGUCAUGCUCAUUAUGUGAGGUAUAUGACAAAUUACCAUUUGACCCCAAUUUCACACCUUAAUUAUCAUGGACUCAACAUUAGUGCAAGCUUGGUAUGGUGUCCUUAUUGGAUACAAUAAUUAUUGUCUAUGACUCACUUUCAUACUUUAUUUUAUUUACAGGCUCAUGCAGAAAGAGAAGAAUCUUACAUCAAGUUACAGAAACACCGUCAAUACCUAAAGGAAGACAAGUACCAGUUAGAGGAACAUGAGAGGGAACAUGUACGAUUGUUACGUGUAGGAAACGUAACUGAUAGUUCUACUGCAGAAGUAUAUUGAGAUGUUAGUCUAAUCAGUGGUUCUUAAAUAAACUGCUUUUGCAUCUUUGUUCAUGUGUAUUGUCUAUGACCAUGAGCUGUCAUAUGAUUCACAUAUUGUCAUGUGAUCAUAAAAAUCAAUUGACUUUCAUACUUGUGAGGUUUUGUGAUGAUUGAUAAAGGAUGCAUUGGUUAUGGGAACUAAGAUGAUCCUAUGAUCUCUUUGUUAAUGAUGAUCAUGUGACAUUUGUUGAUGUAUGAUCAUGUGAUCUUUGUUGUAUAUGAUCAUGUGAUCUUUGUUGAUGUAUAAUCAUGUGAUAUUUGUUGUUUAUGAUCAUAUGUGACAUUUGUUGAUGUAUGAUCAUGUGAUCUUUGUUUAUGUAUAAUCAUGUGAUAUUUGUUGUAUAUGAUCAUAUGUGACAUUUGUUGAUGUAUGAUCAUGUGAUCUUUGUUGGUGUAUGAUCAUGUGAUCUUUAUUAAUUAUACAUUGUCCCUGAAUAUUUUUUAUCAUAAAUGCUUAAGACUUUUUGAUUUAUGUAAAGUGUUGUAAUAUUUAUUUUUGAAUUGUCUUGGUAUUUUCGUACAGGCAAAGGAUCUUUUGAAAUUAAGUCAAACAUUUUGUUUUAAAUGUUUGGACUCAAAGCAUAUGAGGCAUUGAAUGUAUAGUAUACUAUGAAGUCUGUUGUCUCUUUCUGUACUAUUUUUCUGUUGUUGUCAAAGGGGUGAAGAUGAAAAAAGUUACAAUGCUGAAGAAAUCCACUUCCCCUCUAAUGCAUAAAAAAUACCAGUAAUCAUUAAUAAACCAAGAAAAGUGCCUUUCCAAAACCUGUUUUUUUCCCAAUGCAAUGUGCAUCUUAUUUUUUCAUACAAUCAUGAAAAGACUGAAAGAAAUGUAGGUUAGAAUAGUUGGCCUUUCUUAAGUGCCACAAAAUAGAUUGAAGAUUGGAGUAAAUGCUUUACAAAAACCUAACUCUUGUAUGUCAUGUAUGUGUUAGGUAAUUGUAUAUUGUUAUGAUAAUGAUUUUCUCUCAUAUACCUUUUAUUUCGUCAAAUAUAAUCUCAAAUCAGAAGUAAAAGUUUUACGAUGCAAAAUGUUGAUAGGAAAAAAUGAUUUGAACAAAUUGAAAAAUAUCAUUCUCAAUUUCCAUAAUUGUUCAUUUAAUUGAAUCUUACAACUGGUGUUAGGAAUAGAAUUUCAUACCCCUGGAGUCUGACGGCAUUUUUUGGCUUUGUUUACUUUGUCAGGUAUUGAGAAAGGACAGUUUAAACAGACAUCUAAUUUCUAUUGUUGUAGUAUUUAAUGAUCAAAUUAAAAUUUAAUUUUUGAUGAAUUGAUAAAAAGGAAUUGGAACAGAGCUUUACCCAGGUGUUUGAGGGUAUCAAAGUGUCAUAAUUUUUAAACCAGAUUGAAAUAUGUUGUAGAUUAUUCUCAUAGAUUCUUGUUUUACAGUGAAACUUGGUUAAACUGAAACAUUUGCAAAUAAAAAAAAGACAAUGUUUAAACUGAACCCUGCACAUUCCAAGCAAAACACCUGUGAACACCAAAUCUUGUGGGACUACUGUGGUUUCAUUUCUUUUCGUGGGUACCAAUUUGUAGAAGUAGGAAAACUUUUUGUUGAUAUUUAAUUUCAUGGUUUUGUCAAUGUCUGCAUAUAUACCAUUAAAAGAAUUUCAAUUUGUGAUUCCCCUGUGCCAAUGAAAUCCAUGAAAAUUAGUAUCCAAAACUUAUUAAUGAAUCCACAGUGUUCGGCAAAGUCUGUAGUAGUUCAACUGGUUUGAAUUCAACUCAUUUGUCAUUGGAACCAGUAUAGUUCAGUUAAUAUAUAUUUCACUGUAUGUUAUAAUCUGUGGUAAAAGUUGAUUAUAUCAAUACAAAAAAUAUUUACAUCAUAUUUCACAUUAUUGUUAUUCAACAAUUGGACCAUAGAACAGCAGUAAGCACAAAAAAGAGAAAAUAAGUCUAGGAUGAAAAACUUUUUAUAGGAAUUUUUAUAUAAGACUUUUAAGAUGUACACAACACCUUCACUAAAAACUAUUUGGCUCGUUUAAUUUUUAUAAAAUUUUGAAAAGGUAUUUACUUUGACUCAUUGACAAAAAAUAAAAAAAUAAAAAAAGUUGAACUAACCAUUUUAUCAGAAAAUUUACACUGGUUAUAUAGCAGUUUGAGAAACACUAGUUUUGAUCAUUGAGAAUCUUAAUAUUCCAUUAACAACACAACGUAAUUAAAACGUUUAGCUGAUUUUACAGAGUUAUCUCCCUGCAGUGUUAGGUACCACCUUAAGUCUUUAUAAGUGAUCAAGAUUUUCCCCAAACGUCUUUAAUAUAAUAAUAAUAAUAAUUUAUUUUAUUAAAGUGUCACAUACUUAUAUAUAAUACAAUAUAUAUGUUUGUUGAAUAUGGGCAUUAUUUGGCAUAUUUUUUUACACUUUAAAUUUACAAUGAAAAAAAAAGGAAAUAUGAAUUGUAUGAUGGAGAUUCAAGGUAAUUCAAGCAGAUAAACAAGACAACAUUUUUGAUAACAUAUUUCUGAAUUCUAUAAAGUAUAAUAGCUGACGGAUGAAACUGCCAUGUUGUUAAAAUCAAAUGUAAGAUAGAAAACUCAGUUAAGAAAUCUUGAACCAAUUAAUAAGUAUAUAUACUUCUGAAGUGUUAAGUAAAUGUGCAAGGUAGAAUGUUUUUUCUUCUUCAUUUCCAUGUAUAAACUCGUGAGAUUAUUUAAUUGAACAAUAAUUUGAACGAUUUUUUGUAACUAAUGAUCAUUGAAAAAAAGGGACCAGUUUGCCUCAUACAUUUAGAGAUAAUUAAAGAAUUGUUUGUUCUCUUUGAUUUCAAUAUGUCAUGUGUAACAGCUAUGUUAUUGAAGAUAGGAGUCAAGAAUGAAAAUUGCAUGUAGGAGUUUUAAAUCUACCCUAUGUGUACUUCACUUCUCAUAGAAUUAAUUGAAUGAUAUUGCAUAAUUAUAAAACCUUAACAAAUAUUUAUGAAUAUGCGUUUUCAUUAGUAAACCCCACAUUAUUUGGUAAUGUGUAUCAAAUUUAGAUUAAACGACCAGUUAAAUCGAUACAUAAAUUGGCAAAGUAUUGAAAUUCUAUAAAAUAUUUGGAGUUAAAAAAAUGUGAAGAAGUUUUGUUUUUACAUGAAGUACAGUAGUAUACAAAUUUAUAUCUUUUGAUUAUUCAUGUAUGAAACAAUGUUACAUUUCACAUACAUGUUUUUUUUACCAUUGCUCAUUCCCCAUUGAAUCAAAUGUUUUUUUCCCUAGUCUUUCAGUCAAUUUGUUUAUUAUAUCCACUAUAAAUAACUUAAUGUGUAUUUUUACUGUGUUAUAUCUAUUUUAUACAAUUGUCUUUUUAUAAUAUUUAUUUGCUCAUAGUCUUGUAACAAUAUUAAUUUUAUGGCAUAAGUUUUCAGUUCAAAACUGAUUUCUGCCAAAAAUGAAUAAGAAUUAUUUAUGUUAGGUUUUAAAAUUUUCAGUAAAUUUUGUAUAUUAACUUUGUAAAAUUGUUUUGUCUAGCUUUUUAUACAUUUUCACAUUUUUUAUUUGCUAAUUCACUCAGACACUGCCGUUAAAUUAAACAGAUGAAAAAUCAUUUUUAGAAAAUUGAUUUUUAGAUGGUCAGUUUCAAUUUUUCUUUGUAGAGCAUGUCUUUAAAUAAUUUAUAUAUCAACUAAAAAUGAUCUUGUUUAUUUUCAAAUCUGCGAAAUUAAAACACGACAUGCAAUUUGAAAUCCUAUUGAAAAUUUACUACAAGAUUGAAGGUAAAUGUAAGUAAUUUUAUGCACUUGUUCAAGUGGUUUCAUGUCAACAGUAACAUAACAAGUUUAUAUUUUUGGUUAUUGAUCAUACACCCCUGUAAAAAUUAGGGACAUUGUUUAAUUGUAUCCUAAAAUUGAAUGGUAUAUAAUAGUACUAACUGACAUGUUGAUCUCUAUACAACAAUUAGCUGUCAAUGGUAUUUUAAGUGAGGUAUAUUUUCUUGUAUUUGGACAAUAUUGAUAGAAAAAUUCAACAUAGAUGGAUAGUUUAAAGUUUGUUAUAGUUAAAUUUUUGUUCUUAUAUAAAAUUUUGUAUCUUGUCAUGAGAGUUUUCACUUUUUUAUUUUGAAAUUUCCUGUAGAUGUAGUUCUUGAGUAUUCAAAUGCUAGGUUUUUAUGUGUGCUAAAGUAAACAGUCUAUUGUUGUAUUCCUGUUAACAUUUACCCUUGUGUCAAAACUGCUGAUAUAUUUUAAAACUUUACACAAGCACUAUCACAGUCAAAUAUUUGACUAAAUGUGUCAAAACAAUUAUGUAUUUUGGUAUUGUUUAUGCCUAUUUUAAAUUUUUUUUUUUUUAAAGUUUUAAUAGAUGAAUAAAUGUCCGUCUUUAUAUUUUAAGUUAUUAUUCAAUUGCCUCAAAGUCCUGCUUGCCUGAAGCACAAGGUGAGAUUUCGCCUUCAAAUACUCAUGCAAACAGUAGUUUGCGUAUAUACAAAAUUUAGUCUUGGUAUCUAUGAUGAGUUUAUUGACUUGUGGACUUUAAUUUACAAAUAAGUUAAACUUGCAAACAUUGUUGUCAAUAUAAUGGAAUUUUUACACGACUGUCAUACAAGUGAGAGGUUUAGCUAGCUAUAAUAAUCAGGUUUAUUUCACCGUUUUCUACAUACGAAAAUGUCUGUACCGAAUUAGAAAUAUGACAGUUGUUAUCUUUCGUUAAUGUGUUUGAGCUUUUAAUUUUGCCAUUUGCAAAAAACGGGACUGAAUUUUCGGCUCUCCCUUGACACCAUUUGCGAGUAUGGUCUUGAGGAAACGAUGAUAGUCCAUUGGAAGGAGACGAUAAAUGGCUGACCCAAGUAAAGAGAGAGCCAUAUCUCUUGCACGUAAAAGACACCCUUGUAGAUUUCGAAAAAAGAGUUAGGCUAAUGUCGCUACAAGGCAGCACUCGCAACUGCAAAGUGGAAAGGGAUUAAUAUAAGUUGCAAAACUUGUGUCCCAAUCCACUAUAAAUAAAUAUGUUAAACUAAUCAAAUAGUAGAAACACCAAAAGAAGGUAGAUCAGUGAUUAACAAGAUUAUCAUCUCAUUCUGUGCACUCUAUAUAAUCAGUCAGUGAUAAGAAAUGUAAUAUCGAAUAGAAAGUGUUUUGAAAUUAAAGAUUGAAAGAAUUCUUAAUGAUAUCAGAUGGAUGGACAUUGAAACUAAACUGAUACUGUAAAAUUUAAAAUACAUAUCAAAGUCGUUAGCAGUUCAACGAAAGCGUGGUCGUGAAUAAAAGUUUACACAUGGUCGACAGAGUGAAUGUAUGGUUAAAAAAUACACGAUCCUGAGCUCAUCAUUGUGACCUUUAUUUUGGCUUUAAUACAAGACCCCUUCUAGACGUCUGGUCAUUAUGGAUAUGGUGGUAAGACAAAGUAUGUCCACAAGGAGUUCAAUAAAUCUACAAAGUUGUAUAGAAACCUUUUUAUAGGAAUAGGUUAGUGACUUUUCGUAAAUUCUUUACAUACAACGUUUUUAAAUUUGAUUCAUAAAUCACAAAUAUUAUAAUCUGGAUUAAUACUCAACUUUUAUUUUAAAUACGGGGUAUUAAUGGUUCAUGUGGAUGUCAUAUCAAAUGUAUUGAUAAAAAGAUGAUGUUUAAGGAAUAGAGGAAUACAAAUCAGCGUGUAUAACGUAAAAAAACGUUUUACGCUUAACGUCCCAAAGGGCUAGUGUAAGAUAUGCCAUCUCGGAUUUGUUUUUAUCCCAAUCAAUUUUUAAAUUUCGAACAACGGUAUACUACUGUUGCUUUUAUCUAUCGUCCGUUGUCCAUUAACUUUUUGUUAGUAUUUUACAACUUCAUGGCCAAUCGGAACAAAACUUUCCAAACAUUAUUCGUAUGGUCUAUGUUUACACCUACAUAACCAAACAUACCGAUCAACAUGGGCACAAGUGCUAAAAUUAAACAAAAGGUUACAAUGCAAGUUUUAUCUAAGACAUCACAAACCGUUACAAAGAGAGAACACCUGGCAGAGUAAACAGGUGCUUUAAAAGAUCAAGCCCCUCACUAUCUGCUCAUUUGACCAAAAUGUUUAGGCUCUUACUUGACCUAUCCCCUAAAUCAACAGGUUAAUCCAUUUUACAUGUUUGGAAACUAAUGAACAAAUUAAAACUCUUCGCACCAGAAAAGAUCAUGACGAAAAAUGUAUGAGUUUAACAUUUCUCAUUUUUCAAAAGUAUGUUACAAUUUUAUGCAAAUAUGCAAGGUGAACGAUAUAGGUCCCUUCGAGCAUUAAGUAAUAAUAGAACUCCAGAAUUUUACAUCCGUUCUGAAUUUUAUUGAAACUUUCAAAUAAAACUUUAUAUAAAAAUAUUUGUCUCGAUAAGGAUUGCCUAAAAAAUAGAUUUGUGUACUAGGCUGUGCCACCAUAGGGGAGUAUUUGUCAAUGCCUCAAAAUAUCAUUAAGUUCUAUCUGAUUUCUCAUUUAAUGUUAAUUUAACUUUGCUGUAUGUUGAGAUAAACCAACAAAAAGGAAAAUUUUGUUAAAUAAAUCACACUGGCUGGGUGUCAAUUUCACAGAUAGGUUGAUGUCAAUUAUGUUUAUGAAAUGGAAUGCCGUUCUUUAUGAACACUUUGUACGAUUUGUCAACCUGAAAUACUUCAAAGAUUACCCAUUGAGAAAAUAAAGUAUCAGCGAGCAAAUCUGACGGGAAUAUUAAUGUAAAAUUGAUUAUAAAACAUUUGUCAUUUAUCUAGGCUUUCAUAGGAUGACACAUGAAGAGUUUGCCUUGUUAAAUGAUAUUUUGCAUUGAACACUUUUAAUACCUUUCCCUUUCUACUUGACGACUUACUCUUUAUAUACCUAAAAUUAAUUGUGUAGUUUAUCCCAGGAGAUUACAAAAAUGACUUUAACAAUAGGACUAUAUUAAAAUGUUAACUGAUUCGAUAUGUCAGAUACAAUGUUAUGAUAUUGUUACUAUACUGUUCCAUUACAAUAAAAUGUAUAUACACUACAUCAAUAUAUUAAGUUUUAUGUAAUAUAUAUCGCAUUAAGGGUAAAAUACGCAUCGAUUUAAUCUUUUCUGUAUAUUGAUAUUGUACUAUCAGCUACAAGUCACAAAAUGAAACUUUGUAUUGAGAAAGCCCUGAUUCUAUUUCUUGUUUUUUCUUUCAAUUUUACGACUUUCACUUUUUCUUGCUUAGAACGAACCUUUUAAAUGUUAAAGAACUUGCUAUGAUCAAUGUUGAAUUCGGCAUGGUACGUUUUAUAUUACAUCAAGACUACGAAUAAAAUCCUAGUUCACAAAUUUUAAUUCAAGAGUAAGUAUUUUGUGAGAGAUAUUCAAAAGAAAACGUAGAUUCUAUUGUAAAUUAAUGUUAAAAGGAAGGUUGCAGAUACCAUAUUGAAUUUCACACUAAUAAGUCGAAGACAAACUAACAAUUGCAUGGCUAGAAACGGAAAACAAUAUAGAGACAAGUAUCACAAUAUUCAACAUUUAUAACUUAAGGUUGCAGUUCUGUAAAUAUAGACUAUGCAAUUUCCCAUAGAAACUCUCUUUGCGACUAAAACUGUGACACUUUUAAUAUGAAAUUUUGUGAAAAACUAUAUCCAAGAAUGUAAAGAUGAUUUGCACUACUAUUUUAUUCAAAGGUCAAAACAUAGGGCUGUGCGGCAUAUUUUCAACAUUAAUAUGCCCUGAACUUGCCUGAGUUUAAAUUUUAAUAAAACUAUGUACUACCUUCUCUACCUUUACUUUUUGCCUACUUCAGAAUUCAUUUUUCACCGCAAAAGUAUGUUUUUAUUCUGGUAAUAGUAAGAUCAUAUCUGGGAACCAUAAUAUCAACAAAUCAAAUUAUCUAUGAAUAUUAUAUAUCUCCCCAAAGGAGACGUGGUUUGAGAAACAUCUGUAUUUACAAAAUGCAACCUAUAGACUGAGCAACAUGAACCAAUUUAAAAACCAUGACAGAUCAUGUAAAAAGACAACGUAACGAAAGACACAGACAAAUGUAAUUUCAAUCGAUGUGUUCAGACACAUUACAAAAGAGAGGCGAAAGAUACCAAAGGGACAUUUAAAUUCAUACAUGUCAUAAGUUCAAAAUAGACAGACAACUACAUGGCAAAAAGAAAAGUACAAACAGACAAACAAUAGCAAACAAAACUCAACUUAAAAAAACUAGAAACUACGCAACACGAACUCUACCAAACAAUGUUUGUGAUCAGUGGUGCUCCGAAAGGGCAAGCGGACAAUAGUUUACCAGUGAAAACCCUUGAAUUGCCAUUAGACGACAUGCUUUCGUUAAAGGCUGUAUGUUUUUCUUUUCCAUCAACAUGUAUGGAUUUUCCAUCUGUUGAUAUUGUAUAUUAAUUAAUCUUUGCACCAUAUAAAUACAGGGAUAGAAAGUUUUUAUUUGUGCCAGACACGCGUUUCGUCCACAACAGACUCAUCAGUGUUGCUCAAAUAAAAAAAAUAUUAAAAUGACAUUACACUACAUGCUUGAAUGAUUUUCGAUCUAUUUAGUAAAUUUUCAGAAAUAUUUAAAACUUACUACAGUUUGAAUUUUAUAGAGUUUGCUACAGAUUUAUACUUUUUCAACAGUUCUAACAAUUUCUGUAAGAUAUAAAAUGUUAUUUAGUGUAAAUGGCUAUUGGGGUUACUUUGUUUCAAUAUUGUAAGACUUUUUGAGACGCUAACAUAUUUUAAAUACACAUUAUAUAUAUACAUUUGAAACAUAAUACACAGCAGUAUUUAUAAUAUAACAUGUAUAAUUUGAGGUUAAAUUAAUAUCAUUCUUAUACUAUUUGGACAUAUUCUUCUUUUUAAACCUCUGACUACAUCUGAGUUUUAACCUAUACCAUUAGACGUCUACGAUUCAGUCUUCUUAUGUGUAAAACAAGCACGGCUAUUAGUCCUUACAUGCAGAUAGAUACUAUGAGGUUUAAAGAAGAUUGACAGAUAAUUUGUAUAUAUCAAUGCUGUGUAAUUAGUUAAGGGACAAUUGGCUUGUUUAUCUUCCUUAUGUAAAUCACUUACUUGUAUAAGUACAAUUUCUCGCGCAUCAGAAACAUUUAGUACGUUGUUUUAAAUAACAACACAAUUAUUUGCACAUAAAACAAAUAUCACUUGAAAACUAUGUCUAAAUCAAGUGCAAAAUUGUUGAACAUGCAUUUAUACAAGUUCUAUCAAAUGUUAUGUAAAAACAGAAAGUUACAUAAACAAGUAAAUGCGCAUUUAUUCAAAAUCAGAUAGCCUACAAGUCAUCACGUGACAACCUAAUCUUCAUUAUUUCAUUACGUAAAAUGUUUCGACAUGCAGUAUUAUGAGAAUUGACGUUUAAUUUGAUAAAGAGAUAAACGUUCUACCUAAGCGUUGUCUAACAAAACAUUUAAAAGUCUAUGUUAUUGUUCAUAAAAAAAUCCAUUUAGAUCAAAACAUUGUGUCUUGUAUGUUUUUGUGUUAUUAUUAUUAUUUUAUUUCAUUUAAAUGUUUUGGAGUUAAGUGUGAUGUCCAUUUUCACUGAACUAGCACACAAUUGUAUUUAAGGGCAAACUGAGGACCACCUCCGGGCGGGAUUUUCUCGCUGCGUUGAAGACCCAUUGGUGGUAUUCGACUGUUGUCUGCUCUUUGGUCGGGUUGUUGUCUCUUUGACAUAUUCCCCAUUUCCAUUCCCAAUUUUAUUUAAUAGCCUUUUGGACAUGUAGAUUAUUUUUGAAUUUUCUCAACACAAAUACAAAUUCUAAACAGUCUUUCAAUUUUUACUAACAUUUACGGUAUCAUAGCUGUAUUUGUGCUCGCUGCGUUGAAGACCCAUUGGUGGCAUUCGGCUGUUGUCUGCUCUUUGUCGGGUUGUUGUCUCUUUGACAAAUUCCCCAUUUCCAUUCCCAAUUUUAUUUAAUAGCGUUUUGGACAUGUAGAUUAUUUUUGAAUUUUCUUAACACAAAUACAAAUUUUAAGCAGUCUUUCAAUCUUUACUAACAUUUACGGUAUCAUAGCUGUAUUUGUGUACCUGCACACAAGUAGUGUAGGCCUGGAUUGACUUAACCUGCUGGAUCACCUGAGAUCAAACCCUAGGUUUUUUGUGUGUUGUAUACUAUUGUUUGUCUUUAAGGUGGUACCUAACACUACUGGGAGAUAACUCUGUAAAGUCAGCUAAACGUUUUGAUUACGUUGUGUUGUAAAGGGAAUAUAAAGAUUCUCAAUGAUAAAAAAAUGGUGUUUGUCAAACUGCUAUAUAACCAGUGUAAUUUUUCUGACAAAACGGUUGGUUCAAAAUUUUUGAAAUUUUUAUAUUUUUGUUAAAGGGUCAAAGUAAGUACUUUGACAAAAUUUUAUGAAAAUUAAACGAGCCAAAUUAAUUUUAGUGCAAGUGUUGGGUACCACCUUAAGUGGUUUUUCAUUUUUGCCUUGAACGCAAGAGUUUGUCUUCGACGUAAGAGUUUGAAUAUCCCUUUGUUACCUACCUCUUUUAGGUUCUAUGAGGAUAUUUCUAAUAAUUUAAAAGUUUUCAAACUUUGAAUUUGUAAAAAUGGCUGUAAUUUGCAAUGUCGAUGGCUGUUGGGAAAUUUAGAGAAUUCCUCUAUUAAAUUCCUUUUCGCCUUCUUUAAAAUUAAAAAAAAAGAAAAUCACAAAAAUACUAAACUUCGAAGAAAAUUCAAAAUAGAAAGUCCACAUAAUCGAAUGGCAAACACAUCAAUCGAAUGGACAACUAAUGUCAUAUUCCUGACUUGGUACGUGCAUUUUCUAAACCUCUCACUUGUAUGACAGUUUUUUGCAUUUAAUAAAUUCCUUGCAUCAUCAUUAUUAUUUAAUUUUCAAUCAAAAAAGAAAAUUCACUAAAAAAAUCUUUUUUAUCAACCGACUUCAAUCUAUACAAUAUAUGUAUAUUUCUAGAAAGUAUAUAGGGUUAAAAUCGUUAUUUCUACUAAUUGUAAAACACUAUGCAACGAUUUUUAUGUUUAAGAAAUUGAAUGUUAAUUAUUACUUCUUCUUGCGUUUAAAUAAAUGUAAAUACACUACUUGCAUACUUUGUUUUUGUGACGUUUUGCAUUGAAUGCCAUUUUUAAUCAAAAUUCAUAUAUUAGAGGCAGAAGUAGUUUGUAUAAGCUUUGGAUUUCAAAUAUUUUGGCCACGAGCAUCACUGAGAAGACAUGUAUUGUCGAAAUGCGCAUUUGGUGAAAGAAAAUUAGUACCGUUAAUUUUAUUAUUACCGAUCUUCAAUUUUCAUAAAUUAAUUUGGAAGAUACAAACCAAGGAAAAUAAAUUUGAGGGGAAUCGCAUCAACCCAGAAAGGAGAAAAUUAAUUUGUUUUUAAAUUUAAUUAAGCGUCUUUUUUAUAUUACUGUGUUUAAGUGUUAAAUUUUCAAUAAAUCGGUCAAUAUAAAAAAGAAGAUGUGGUAUGAUUGCCAAUGAGACAACUGCCCACAAGUGACCAAAAUGACACAGACAUUAACAACAAGAUUAUUUUGAACUCUCUUUGAGCAUUUAUGCAUGAAUAAGCCAUUUUAUUGAUGCACUCUAUAUGUUCGUCUCUGAAGCUGUGAUACUGUGAAUUUUAUUCACGACUGCGAGAAUCAGACUUCAUUGUGGUAAGAGCGCCGAUGAGACCGCUCUCCAUGAUCAGCAAGCUGUAAAUGGCUUCAAACUGACAUAUAAAAAAACAAUUCAAACAGGAAAAUGAACGGUCUAAUCCAUAUACAAAAAACGAAAAUUCCUAAUGAACCACACCAACAAACGACAACCACUGAACAAGAGGUUCCUGGAUUAGGAUAGGUGCAAACAAAGGUAGCGGAUUUAAACGUUUUAGCAGGAGCCAACCGUCACCCUAAACUGUGGUAGCAGUGUAACAUUGCAACAUAAAAAAUACAGAUUAUGAAAUAUCAAUUGAAACGGCUUAACGCAAUCAUAAAGAAAUUAAUAAUUUAACAAGUCAACACACACUGCACAAAUAAAUUGAUUCAACUACACAAUGUCAAUACUAUAUUUAUAAAAAGGGGAGAUGUAAAACACAAAAUCAGAAAGACAACUAUAAUUCGACAAAAUGGCAUUGAAUAAUAUAGCGUCACAGAUACAUAUGAUAAAUAUGUUGUUAGGAGUGCAUGGAGUUAGGAAAUCUUUUUUACAAAAUAAAUACAUCAAAUUUAUUGUUCAAAGUACAUCAAACAGAAUUUGAAAUGUAUCGUCAUACUAAAUAAAAGUGGUGCAUAUUAAAAUCUAGUACUCUUUGGUUGAUUCUUGUAUUACGUGAUGAUAGUAAAAUAAACUCUCAGGACAGAGAAAUACAUACAUAAAUAGUAUAGAAAAAUAAAAUAGAAAAACGGACAGCUCUCAUGAAUUAACGAUAAUACAACCGGACACCACACACUGUGUGUAGAAAAAAUUUAUUACAGUACUCUAGCUGCUUUCAAUCUAACAACACUUGAGUUCUGACCUAAAUAACUUGAAACGUAUGAUUUAAUGCUUAUUCCGUUUCCUGUGUGUGUUACAUUUUAAUGUUGUGUCGUUGUUCUCCUCUUAUAUUCAAUGCGUUUUCCUCAGUUUUGGUUUGUUACCCCGAUUUUGUUUUUUGUCCAUAGAUUUACAAGUUUUGAACAGCGGUAUACUACUGUUGACUUUAUUUAAUCUUAUGUGCAGAAAUAUAACUUUUAUUAGUACAAACUUUAAGCUGUGAUACCAUUAAUUUUCGAAGAGAUUGAAAGACAUUUUGAAAAUGUCUGCGUUGUGUAAGUAUUUAAGGGAAAAGUGGCUAAACAUUGCUUAUUUGUCUUCUGGGUUUCAUUAUUAUUACCCGCGUAUGAGAAGCAUUUUGAUAGUUUCAAUUUAGACCACGGUUAAAUUAUACGUUCAAUUGAUAUUUUGAAAACCCCGUGAAGAUGUUGUACAUGAAUUUGAACAAUUUGUUCCAACAGUUAUAUAAAACCAAAAAGGUUACAUAAAAAGUAUACUCAUUUAUUCAGAAGCAGCUAGCCUACAUAUUAACACGUGAUAAUCUAGUCUCCAUGAGUUUAUCACAUGACCCGCUUCUACAUAUCAUAUUAAGCGAAUUGACGUGUAAUUUAAUAAAGUUAUAAACAUCCUUCACAACCGUUGUAUAACAAAAUAUUGGUAAAGCCAAUGUCAUUGUUCAAGAUCAAACAAUAAAGCUUGAAAUAAACUCAUCAUUGAUACCAGGAUUAAAAUUCUAUAUUUGCGCUAACUAGUAAAAUAUGGAAACGUUGAUGCUUCAAAUUAAAACACGGUUAUGUUGUACGUUCAACUAAUAUUAAUAUAUAAUAUUAAGUCUACACCACGUGAAAAUGUUUUACAUGCAUUUGUACAAGUUGUAUCAAGAGUUAUACUAAACCAAAAGUUUACAUAAAAAGUAUAAUACACAUUUAUUCUAAUGAAGUGAUAAAAAGUAAAAUCACAAAAAUACUGAACUUAGAGGAAAAUCAAUUCGGAAAGUCUAUAAUCACAUGGCAAAAUCAAAUAACAAAACGCAUCAAAAACGAAUGGACAAGAACUGUCAUAUUCCUGACUUGGUACAGGCAUUUUCAAAUGUAGAAAAUGGUGGAUUAAACCUGGUUUUAAAGCGCUAACCCUCUCACUUUGAUGACAGUCUCAUCAAAUUCCGUUAUAUUUACAUUGAUGCGUUAACUAAACAGACACAAUAAAUACAAUAGUCAAAAUAUGGGUACACAAGUCAUCAUCGUAUAACAAUGUUAAAAGGAACAAUUUAACAGAACACAACAAUAUCUAUCCACAAACACAUUCAUUGAUUUGUGUGUCUGACGUCAGAAAAUGUUAUACGUCACGUAGAUUUGUCGCUCAAUUUUAAAAUGUACAUAGGUAAUGUUAGCAUAUAGGGUUAAAAAAUCAAAAGUGUGUAAGAAUAAAUUUCAGAAACAUUCUUCAGAAACAUUCUUCAAAUCUGUUGUAUAACAAAAUAUUGAUAAGCCAAUGUCCUUGUUCAAGACCAAAUGAUUAAACGUGAAAUAUUCAAUAGCUUUGAAAAUAUGCAGGACCAAUUUCCAAACAAAUUUAUUCUACAAAAGUACAAUUCUAAAAAUGUUUUUCACAGUUUAUUAACAUUUACUUUUUCUAAUCAUAUCUAUAGGGUAUAAAUUUGACAAAGUAUGAGAAUCCAUCCACUCUAUUCCUUGUUGCAUACGUUAAGAAUUUUUUUUAUACUCAAAUUAAGGAGUCAACCUUCUAUGAAGCAGAACUUAACCAAGGGCUUGUACAGAAAGGAGAAAAGAAAUUAGCCCAGUCUAUUAAUUUCACCUUUCGGUAUAUUGAUGAUGUACUGUCUCAUAAUAAUAAUAUACUCAGUGAUCACUUAAAUUUAAUAUAUCCAAGUGAAUUUGAAAUUAAAGAUACUACCGUUACAGAUAAAUCUGCUUCAUAUUUAAACCUUUUUCACGAAAUAAAUACUGAUGGUUAAAUACCAAAAUUUAUGACUAACGCGAUAAUUUUAAUUUUCCUAUAGUCAUCUUUCCAUUUCUGUAUAGCAACAUCCCAGCGACACCAGCAUAUUGAGUAUGCGUCUCAAUUGAUACGUUGCGCUAGAGCUAGCUCAAAGUACGUUGAUUUUGUUGAACGAGGAAUACUGCUUACUCAAAAGUUGCUAAGACAGGACUUUGAAUCAAUCAAAUUAAGGUUAUCACUCAAGAAGUUUUACGGUCGCCAUCAUGAGCUGAUUGGUCAUUAUGACGAAAGUGUGUCAGAAAUCAUAUCUGAUAUUCUUCAUCAGUCAUAAUAACCUUCCACCAUUACCGAACUGAACAAUUGAAGAAAUAACACGACGGGUGCCGUAUAGGGUACAGGAAAUGCCUACCCUUCCGGAGCACCUGAUUCACUCCCGAUUUUAAGUGGAGUUCGUUUUGUUUCUUAUCUAUUAUUUUAUAUUAUUUAUCACUGCUGAUGUAAAUGUCCUUUGGUUUUGUGAGUCUUUGUUUACUCCUUGGUUUUGAUUGUUAAUGUCUUUGUUUGGCAAAGAACGGGACUUUCCAAAUCAUUGUUCAACAAAUGACUUCAAUUUAUACAUUUAAUGAAAAUUUAGUUUUUUCAGCGUCUAUAAUGGAUCCAAAUCUUCAUUAUUAACAUCGAUAAAUAUCGAUACAUAUAUCCUGUUUUCUACAUGAUUAUAUGAAUAGAAGGACAACUUCAGAAAUUAAUUGAUCUGGCGUCUUCGAUCGUCUUGUUGUUUUUUGUUUAAAUAUGUGAUAGGAAAAUAAGAAAAUGACAUCAUGUUGAUGAACAUAUGAUCUACACAAAUAUGACCAAAUAGAAUAUACGUUACAUCCCAAAAAGAAUCAUUCGUCGGAUCGAACAUUACAUGAUAAACAAACAAGAAGACCAGAUAUUUACAGAUGACUCUUAUUAUGUUACAAGAGCAAUAGCUAUCAAAGUCAUGUUCACCGAUUUUUGAUUUGUAGCAAGGAAAAACAUUUACCCAAAUUAUAAAAAGUCCAAAAUAAACAAUUUACAGGACAUAAGUUCGAUAAUAUGUAGGUUCGUUUCGUUUGUAUUAUAGUCUAGACGCAAUCUAAUUAACUAUCCAGUUGACCUCCGAAGACCUUCGAUAGCAAUACAAGCGACAUAAAUAUAUAAAAAAGUGAUAUAAAUAGAUAGCAAACUCGUGGAAUUGGAUUUUACUAGGUCUGUUUAAUUUCAUUUUAUAGAUUAAAAAUAUAUGUUAAUCAUCUUUUUCUUUUUUUUUUGGAUCAGAUCAAUCAAGCAAAUGAUUUACCUUUGUUUCACGUUCAAUGUUGACAUUCUUUUCUUUUCGAUAAUCGAACACGCAUUCAAUGAGGUUAAAUUAUUCUCUUGCAAGUGAAUAAUUCAUCAUCUAUGUUUGUUAACUUAUUUUGACAAAAUUGAACCUUAUUGGCUGCUAAAAACUAAUUAUUAUUUCACUAUUUCACUUUCAUUAAUGAUUAAAAAACAAAUAUAUAUAUAUAUAUCUUAUUCAUUUUAUAUAUAUCGUACCUAGUGCCCUUUUAUCAUUGACAACCGGUGUCACCUUACUUUAUGUGCUAAAAGCGAUGGUAGCUAACUGUAUGUACAAAUGUGUUUUAACCGAUUCGACCUAAACGAACAAUUGUUCAAAGAUAAUGCAAAGAUAAUAAGUAUGAUCUAUGAAGUCGACUAUAUUAUCAUGACCAACUACCGUCCUGAAAACAGUUCACAAAACAGACUGAGCCAUAUGGUUAUUAUGAAGAACGAAAUGUUCUUAUGGAUUCUAUGUAUCCGCGGAAUGUUCCUUUGAAAUGCCAAUUUGACUGCAUAUUAGAUGUGUUAAUUUAAUUUUUGCUGUUUUAUAAUACUUUGCUUGAUUAUCGAACAGGUAGUCUUUUACUUGUUAUAAAUCAUACUGGAUAUCCAUGUUAUGUAUGCAUCAUAUAAGACAUUAACAAAACACCAUCUUUCAAUUAAAUCAUGUGUUGAAUUUGUUUUGUCUUAAUAUAUAAGCUGAAUAUUAAUACCGUAUAUUGCCUAAUUUGAAAGGAUCAGUUUAGGUUGAUAAUGUUAGGCAUAUUCAAUACCUUCAUUUCUCAGGAAACACAUUUAUUUAUUGAAAAAAGUGACUGGUUAACUUAUAGUUUCAGCCUUUUUUUAUUGAAUUCUUCUAAGCAAUUUGUUUUGUCAAGUAAUUAGCCUUUUCAGAAUCUAAAGAAUCAUGGGUAAUUUCAUUGUUCGUACCCCAAAAUGAAAAUAACGCCACGUCAUUGGUUAAAUUUCCAUUGUUUAUGACAUUUUUAACCAAUCAGGACGUCGUGGUGUACACUUUUAGAAAAUAUUACCCAGGAUGCAUUAGAGAUUCUGAAACGGCGAAUUAUGUAUUCCCUUUUUUAAUUUUCCUAAGAGUUCGGUAUUUUUAUUACUUUUUCUCUGUAUGGUUUGUGUGAAUUAAAAAUAUUAUUUUUAAAGUAAUACAUGUAACCGGAAUCGCUGAAAUCGCCGGAAAUACCACAUAGUAAGCAAUUGGCUUGUUUGUUAUUUGAAUUUCCUGUUAAUUUAUAGCAUGCACACUUAAUAUAGUAUAUUACAAAAGAUACAGGCAAACACAAUAUAUGAAAUGAAAUGUAAUGUGAUUUUUUUUUUAAAGUACAGGACAGGAUGAAAUUUAACUUACGCCAAGUAUUUCUUUAUUUGAAACAAAGACAUAUUCUGCAUAAGUUUUUGGAAAGUGCAAAUUUAACAAAGACUAAUGGGGGGAAAUCAAUGGUGAUAUUAAAACUAUAUGUUUUCACUUUUCAAAGAUAUUAUAUAAAAAGUUAUACUAGUAUACGAUUGUAUAAGUUGUUAAAAUAUGCUGCUUUUUUUUGGUCACAUUUUGGGUAUGCAUUAUUGCGCAAAACCUUCAUAUCUCCUGCUAAAAACAUAAACAACAGUUUCACGUGUUCAAUGAUAAAUACUGUUGUAUCACGUGUUAUAAAUUAAUGUGAUAUUAUUCAAUGCAAAUUGGAACAAAAAAAUUGUUAUUAAAACCAGGAUAAAUAAGAAUUAUUUCACUCCAAGGCCAUUUACAACAUGUGACCAAUUUGUACUUAACACUUUAUUUUUUUUUGAGUAAUUUGAGGUUCCACCAAUAUCGUGUCAACUACAGAUUGAUAAUUUCUAAGGAUGGCAAAUAUUAUUUUCAGAACACACGUGAAUUGAUUAGCUAUGAUGUUUCAAGUACAUAUAAUUAUAUCUACAUGCAUAUCUACAUGUUCUGCAAAAUUGGGAUUCCUUCUUUGUUUUGAUUUGAGGGAGGGGGUUAAAAGUAGCAAGUAACAAAUAUAUAUUUUGACAUAACAAUGUGUGUUAUUCUAUAAGGGUUGUGUGAAUUAACAGAAUGCUUUCUUAAUAGAAUUGAAUUUUCGUAAAUCAUGUUUCUGGUAGUCACAUUAACGUUGUGAAAUAAUUAUCAAAAUGUAAAAUAACAAAUAUACCGAACUCCACGGAUAAUUCAUCCAUUCAUCCGAAAUCAAAUAAAAAUAAGAAUCAAAACCUCAAACACAUCAAACGAACCGAUAAAAACUCUCAUAUUCCUCACUUAGUACAUGCAUUUCCUUAUGUAGAAAAUGGUGACCUAGUUUUAUAGCUAGCUAAACCUCUCACUUGUCUGACAGUCGUAUAAAAUACGAAUGUUUUGAAAACAUUGUGUGAAAAAAACAAACGGACACAAAUAGAUAAAAAUGUCCAAAUCGGGAACAACAGUCAUUGUUGUGAAAGAAUCUUAAUCACAAAACAAAAACCAAACAGAUUCGCAACAAAAAAAAAACAUAAAAAUAAAAUAAAAGGAGCACACUAACAUAAACGAAAGAGAAUUUCACAUAACACAAUAGUAAGUACAUUCAUCGGGAUUCUGAAACCGGAAUGCUCUGAAACAGCAAUUUAUUCAGCCUUUAAAUUUAAAUUUAUAAGAGUGUCAACGGUGAGCCUUAUUUAGGCGAAUCGCAUGAUUGGCGAUCACAUUAUAAUUCUAGCAUCUUUGGUGCUUUUCUUCGCAUUAUAAGAAAGAAAAGUUAAUUUAUGUUUUAAAAAUGCAGAACCUGUCACUUGGUGAAAAUAAUAAAGACUUCAUUUUCACGUGUACAUGACGAGAACAAAUUAGAAUUUGCCCAAAAGAUGCAUAAAAAGGAUCAUAUGGAAAUUACAGAAGUAAUACACAUAUUGUUAAUAAGUUUUCGUAAAUAGUAAUUUUUAAGAAACCCACAACUAUAUCGAACUCAGUUGUUUUCUUUAAAGCUAUACUUUCAGUCAAAUCAACACUGGUGAAUUUGAAACAGGCAACGUAACAAUCCAGUAAAUGUAUUCUAUGAAACUCUAAAUAAAACAUAUAAUCAUCGUCAAAAAAGAAGGAUUUAUACGAGUCGUUGGCUAAAUAAAUACUGCACUGAUAGCAAUGAUGUAGUUUAAAGUUGUUCUACUUUUCAGUACACCAAUUGUAUAGAAAGAAAAAAAAAAUAUUCAUAUUCAUAAAAUCAUUCCAAUGCAAUUCACUUGGAAUAAUAUCACAUUAUCUUAUAUCACGUGACUUCAGUAUUUCAUCACGCGAAUACGUUCUAGAUAUUGCAUAAAAAGAGUUGAAACAUAUGUGAUAAGGCGAUAAAAGACCUGAUUAAAUGUUUUAUAACACAGAUAUUACAAAACAAGGAAAGAAAAUAUCAUACUCGACAAAACGAAUUUAAUAAUAGCUUCACAAAAUAUUUUAAUGAUUACUUUUUCACUGAUUUUGAUAUCAAACCGGCUUUUCAUCACUUACUGAAUUAUAAAUUUCUUUAAAAUGCACUUACAAAAUAGAAACAAUUGAGAGGGGUAUUCUGUAACGUUCUACAACAUCGGAAGAACAGCCGUUUAUACACCAAAUAAGUCGUAUUGGUCAAUUGAUGUGAAAUUUGUAAUACCUGAUUUAAAUUGUUUGGACCAAUAAUAAUAGUUAAUGAAUACAAUCUUGAUUUUGAUUACAUUCUUAUAGUCAUAGAAAAAUCAGUUCGACCCUAUGAUUUUAUUUUCUGUCAAUUCUUAUUCCUUCCGGUCCCAUUAGAUUUCUGAUUUUGACCCUAUGAUUUUAACAGUUGCAGAGAAAACAAUAUUAACAAUAUCAUAGCAUAGCUUCCACAAAUCUUCACACAGCAUUAAACAUAUAAGCAGCAAUAUCUACAUUGUACGAUUCGCUCGUGUAUGUAACAAAGUUUUAUAUUUUAGUGAGAGAAAUUAUGUAUUACUGAAAAAUUAUUACACAAGGGUUUUUGAUAUCACAAACUAGUCAAAACAUUUACUAAAUUUAAUCACCGGUACACGGACAUCAUUCGUAAAUAUAACUCAACAUGCCGACUUCUUAUAAUCCAAUCUUUUAUGGUAAUAUUCUUUACAAAGCACAAAAAUGUCAGUAUUCACCUCAGAAGCUAACAAAACCUUUAAACAGACUUAUUAAGAAGGAAUAUAGCUACGAUACUGCUGUCGGGUCAUUAGAGAUUGCAUAUUUUGGCUUUAAUAUUGAUUUACUUAUAGGGUAUUUACAUAGGAAUUAAAUACAUUUAUUUAAAAACAAGUUGCUGCCAUCACACGUGUUUUGUUCUUUGCAUAUAUUUUAUGAUGGUUUAAUACUUAACCCCUAACGGGGGAAUUGUGUCCGAUAUUCAUAUGAAGAAGAAUUUAUCUUUAAUCAGUUUAAACUCAUAAAUCGAAAACAAACUGACAACGCCAUGGCUAAAAAUGAAAAAGACAAACAAACAACAGCACACACGAACACAACACAAAAAACUAAAGAAUAAACAACACGAACCCGACCAAAAAACUAGGGAUGAUCUCAGGUGCUCCGGAAGGGUAAGCAGAUCCUGCUCUACAUGUGGCGCCCGUCGUGUUGCUUAUGUGAUAACAAAUCCGGUAAAAAGUCUAAUUCGGUAGGUCACAUUCAUGAAAGGGAAGGGGAUUGUAGUUACGACGUAAGGAACAUAUCCGAUAUCAUUUGUGAAACGGUCAUUCCAUAAUGGUCAACCAACUCGUAAUGGCGUCCGUAAAAUUUACGAAGGGAUGAUUUCAACUUCACCAUUUGGAACUCUUGGUUUAAUAGCUUCCUUGUGAGCAGCAACCCUCUAUCAAGAAAAUCAUGAUAGGAAAUGCAAGCACGGGAAUAUCGUAUCAAUUGGGAGAUAUAUACCCCGUAUGCACGUGUUGCUGCAAUGUUGCUAUUUAGAAAUGAAAAGUUCACAAUUGGAUCUCUUUUGUCGUAAAGUUUUGUUUUCAACCGACCUCAUUGUCAAUUUCUAGAUGUAAGUCAAGAUAUGAGGCCGACUUAACUGUAUCUGUAGUAUCCUUUAUCUCUAGCUGAUUGGAUAGAUGCGUUCCACAUAGUCACCAAAUUUUGAAUUAUUUAGUGAAAGUAGUGAAAGAACAUCAUCUAUAUAGCGAAAAGUAGAGUUAAAGGAUAUUGCUUACUUCUUAUCUUUCUUCCUAAACUUUAUUAAUUGAGGUCUGGAGCUGGCAUGUCAGUAACUGCUAGUAGUCUGUUGUUAUUUAUGUCCCAAGUCACGAGCCGCUUGCCUUUGUUAGUCUUGUAUGAUUUUUAAUUUUAGAUUCUUGUGUAUAACUUAGAGUUUAGUAUGACGCCCAUUAUCACUGAACUAGUAUAGAUAUUUGUUUAGGGGCAAGCUCCGCCGGGUGCGAGUUUCUCGCUGCAUUGAAGACCUUCUGCUGUUGUCUGUUCUAUGGUCGGGUUUUUUGACACGUUCCCAAAUUCCAUUCUGAAUUUUAUAAGAAAUAAAAAUUAAAUUUAGUAAAGAAACCAACACUUACUUGUUGCCCUCGCAAAGAUAUAAGGAAAUUCACAACAUAAUAGAUUAAUUUUUCAUAACAUAAGUAUGUUAGAUUAGAAGAAUCUUAAAGUACACACAUAAACCUGUGAUACUGUAAUUUAGAUAUGACUUCACGAAAAUGGAUCGUGUGUGUAAUGAAUCCUUGGGUAUUCUUUUAGACUAAUGUCACGUUAUAAUCUCGUUUUCAUUAUCUAAAAAUAGCACAAUGUUAUAUAACAAAUUUCUCGUUUUAUGUAACAAGGCGAUAAAUGCUCAUUACAUACACUGACAUGCAGAAAUGUGACCAUAAUUAUUUGUGAAAAUUGGGUAUUUAUGUUUUUGUUACUUCAUUUUUCAUAAUAUGUAUACCACAAAACUGAAGAUUAAAAGUCAACAAUUGCUAACAACAAUAUAUUAAAAUGUUCAAAUUUACAAGUGAAAAGUGUGAAUAUCUGAAAACUUAUUCUUGCCAUUCAUAUUCGAAACCCUCGAAGAAGGAAAGAAAAUGUUUCAAAUGCAGAGACUUUGAUUACAAGAUUGAGAAGCUUAAUAUUCCUUUUACAACAGAACGUAAUCAAAACGUUUAGCUGACUUUACAGAGUUAUCUCCCUGUAGUGUUAGGUACCACCUUAAUUGGCUUAAACUACUGAUUUUCUAAAUACAAGACUACGAUUGCCGUCUCAAAUUUAGAGAAAUCAUAUUCCUCUUAACAAUCAUCAAAACAUACAUUUACUUAAAUAUUACAAAUAACACAAAGAACAUCAUCAAAGGUCGAUCAAAAUCCAUAGUCGUUAAAUUAAGGCCGUCACUCGUCUAACCGAGAGAUUGGUCCGUUAAUCUAUAUUGAGUGUGCAGCUGUAUGAGUGGUUGGUAUCUUAAUCGGGUUGGCUAAAGUAUGUUAUCGCGAAAAGCAUUGCAAGGUCAGAGUGUUUCAUGGUAUAACUUUUUAACAAUAUCUUUUAAAUCAUAAAAACUAUUCAUGUCAGGCAAAAAAAAUCAGUGUACUGAAUCCAGCGGUGCAAUUAUUUUUUUUUCUAGCCUCGAUAAACAUUCUAUAAAAUGAAAAGGCGGGUUACUCCUCAAUAAAUUUUUACACAUUUUACACAUAAAAAAUGUACACAAAAUGAGUUUGUUGAAAUUAAUUGCAUGCAAUAUUUUGAACAUCGAAAAAAUACAGGCAUUAUUUUUGUUAACCUUAUUAUAUCCUUAUUUGAAAAUCUACCCGAAAAUCUGUAUUUUUGUGACAUAAAUCAAUUUUUAUUAAAAAAAAAAAAACCUGGUCCGUUAAUGGGUCGGAUGUAUAAAACCCGGUCUCUUAAUUGAUCGGUUAAGUGUUUCGAAUUGCAAUAAAAGUAUAUUGUAAACCAACUAAUUUUCGCGAGCGAUUUACUUUCGCGACUUUCGCGAGUAGAAAUAUAUCGAGAUUAUAUAUCGUCACGAAUAUGUAAAACUUGGAUCUAUUUUCAUUUAACUACAUCGAACAAAGAUGAGAAUCGCGAAAAUAAAUCGCCGCGAAAUGAGUUAGUAAGGGCUACACGCGAAAUAAAGUAUCCGGGAAAAUAAUUUGGUUGACAGUAAUUUGAUUGUUAUAUUGGGUGUUAUGAGAACAAAUUGGUUGGCCAAAGACGAGUGACUAAAAUAUACAGAAACAACACAAGAACAAAGAAACACACAUUUAGACAAUGGAAAUUAAAAAUUGCUAAAAAUGGUUUCAAAAAGUGUAAUAUUAAAGUUAUAUUUAGGUGUAAUACCACCAAAUCAUGAUACGCCACAUCCGGUUGCAUACGAAAGUAGGUCUAAAAAAAUAUUCCCUUGAAUUUGACAGUUGUAGAAAAUUAACCCUGCAUUUCAAUGCACUUAAAUUUUUCUGAGUCAUAAACAUGUAUGUUGGGUGUCUGAAAGCAUCAUUCUUUUUUUAUUUGAUGGUCUUAUAAAAUAUUUUGGAAAGUUAAGGUUACAUAGUUGCCAAAGCAGGUAACCAGUAAAUAACCUGGUAAAAAUGUGAUUGUUUACUUCCGGUGCAGGUUACUUUCUUAUAUGCAAUGAAAUGUAGUGUGAAAUUUUCACUGUAGCACUGGAAAGGAUUAAACUUUGUUCAUGCAAAGUAUUUCUUUGGUUGAAAUAAAGGUAAAUUCUGUACAUUUUUUUUAAAAGUACCAAUUUAACAAAGACUAAUAGGGAAAAAUCAAUGGUGGUAUUACACCUAUUUAGGGAAACUACAUGUGCACUCGUGACCUUAUUGUACUUUCAUUUUUAAAAGUUAUUAAUAAACCAGUUCAUACAUUGUAAACAUGGACUAUUCGGAAUGGAUUGAGACACAGAAAGCACGUUUGAGGUAAAAUUGCCUUGAAAUGGGGGUUUACGGGUGUUUUCUAAGUCAAAUGGGUGGACAGACAAAGCUGUAUUUAGUUUACUGUGUUAAAUUUUAAAUAAUACCCUAACAGUUUUGUUUAUACAACAUGUGAAUUUUUUAUUUCAGUGUUCACAUGUUCUGAAGAGCAUUCUGUUGAAAAAUCUUAUAUGUGAAUUGGUCUGCAGAUGACACUUCAGCAUUAAAGUAAGUAUCAACUAUCAUCAUGUUUUUUGUGUUUUUUUUGGCCGCAAAAGUUUACAAUUUGCCAUUGUGCCAUCUACAUUUUGCACAGACAAUAAAUCAUCUAAACACUUAUUUGCCCUGGAUUUAUACACAUCAGAAUCCAGUCUCACAUACUUAAACUUUAUAAUUCUUACCAAUUAUUUUUUGUACCAGCAUUCCAAGGGACAUAACCCUUUUUAAAAACAUUUUGAGGUAUUUUUUAUUACUCUUUCUCCCCAUUUUCUAAUGUAAAAUACAAGAAAGUGGACACUUUGUGUAAAUCUAUUAGAAAUAUACUGUUAUGAGUAAAUAAAAAGACUUUGAUACCAGUAACAAUAAAGGGUUGACUGAAAGGGAACCGUUAUUUGUCACACUAGGCGAACAGACUAAAAACUCGAGUUACACAUAAGGGCUUCUAGAAACUUUCGUGUAGACUGUUAACAUUUAUAGAGACAGUUCUUUCAGCUAAAACACUUUAAUUAUUGAUUUAACAUUACAUUUAUAUCAUUUUUGUGGGAAAUAAUCACAUUUGUUUUAUUUUUUAGACAAAAGAUAUCAAGUUUUGAUGAAAAAGGAAGGAAGGAGGAAAAAUGGACCAAAACAGACCAAAAACAGACCUUCAAAUGAACUCUAAAAGGUGCAAUAAAAUUGUUUAUCAUCUAAAAGUUGUCUUUUGUAUUCUAUUUAAUUGUUUGAAUGCAUAGAUCAUGAGUUUUUGAUCAGAUAUUAGUCAACACUGCAUUUUAUAAUGAUACACUGAAAUUUGGAUUUGUCGAAGAAAUUAGACUGAAAUUGCCGUAGGAUAUGGCCUUACAUUAUAGUGAUUUUCUCUGAAACUAUAGAUCUGACUGAGACAAAACUUGGCAGUUAUGCUUGAAAUAACUUGCAAUUGGAGGGAAAAAAAUUACAUUAAGUUUAUUUGACAUUUAGGUGUUCUUUAGGUGUAAUACCACCAAAUCAUGAUACGCCACAUCCGGUUGCAUACGAAAGUAGGUCUAAAAAAAUAUUCCCUUGAAUUUGACAGUUGUAGAAAAUUAACCCUGCAUUUCAAUGCACUUAAAUUUUUCUGAGUCAUAAACAUGUAUGUUGGGUGUCUGAAAGCAUCAUUCUUUUUUUAUUUGAUGGUCUUAUAAAAUAUUUUGGAAAGUUAAGGUUACAUAGUUGCCAAAGCAGGUAACCAGUAAAUAACCUGGUAAAAAUGUGAUUGUUUACUUCCGGUGCAGGUUACUUUCUUAUAUGCAAUGAAAUGUAGUGUGAAAUUUUCACUGUAGCACUGGAAAGGAUUAAACUUUAUUCAUGCAAAGUAUUUCUUUGGUUGAAAAUAAAGGUAAAUUCUGUACAUUUUUUUUUAAAAGUACCAAUUUAACAAAGACUAAUAGGGAAAAAUCAAUGGUGGUAUUACACCUAUUUAUUUCUAAGAAUGGUCGCAUAUAUCAUGUGGAUUCUGUUUUAUUGUCAUGAAUGACACCAAUUUGUCAUCUACAUUGGUAACCAGUAUAUAAAUCAGAGAUAGACUUCGUAAAGUAACAAAACAAAAUUUUAGCAUGAAGAGAAACAAAAAUUGGUAGUGACUUUGUAGUGAAUCAACAUCCCAGAAUAUUCAAGUUAAACAUUUAAAAUUAUAAUACCAUGUGUUAUGUACAAUUUAGUCUUCACUUUUGAAAUUUUUUCAUCAAAUAGACUGAAAUGUGUGUUUUAAUUGCAUACAAAUAUAAUCAACCUUUCUCGUAAAUACAAAAUUGAAUCCUGGUAUCUAUGUUGAGUUUAUUUACAACCACCUGGUCGAUGCCACUGUUGGUGGAGUUUAAAUUCCCCGAGGGUAUCACCGGCCCAGUAGUCAGAACUGUUGUGCUGACAUGAAUUAUCAUGGUCAUUUUUAUAAAUGAACUGUUUACAAAACUGUUGAAUUUUAGAAAUACGAAGGCUUUUCUACAUGAGGAGUAGAUUAACUUAGCUGUAUUUGGCAAAACCUUUUGGAAUUUUGGUCCUCAAUGUUCUUCAACUUCGUACUUAUUUGGCCUUUUUAGAUUUUUGUGAUUCGAGCGUCACUGAUGAGUCUUAUGUAGACGAAACACGCGUCUGGCGUAAAUACAAAAUCUAAUCCUGGUAUCUAUGAUGAGUUUAUCUACACAACCUGGAAGGUCACUCGAUACAAAAACAAGCACGUUUGCGGACUGUUAGUCGGUUAAAUAACUUACAAUGGAAAAACAUGCAAUUAAUAUUAUGCAUUUGUUGUGAUUUCCAAGAAAAUAAAACAUUCUUUUUGAUACAUAUUAAAGUUAAUUAGCACCCACCAUAAACAUUGACAGAAAACAAUCGUACUAAUGUCAAUUUAUUGUUUCAAUGAGAACCACGUAUUACAAACGAAUAGAAAACAACGGUCAUAUUCCUCACUUGGUACAGACAUUUCCUUAGGCAGACAAUGACAAUGAUGACUAGGUAUACUUUAUUGAAAUAUGUAACUUCUGUACAGAACUUUAAAAUGAUAAAUGUUAAAUUCAGUUACUAUUGAACAUAAAAUUGUCAAACUGUUUUUGUUUUUCUAAAAUAUAAAAUAUUGUACAUUUUUGUCGUACAAAAUUACAAGCUUGGCAUUGUAUUGAGUUUCAUCCGUUGUGAAUUUUGCAUUUCUGUGAUGCAACAUUCUAGCAUCGCAUUAAUUUGGAGAGCAGAUCUUUCAGUUUAUCUAUCUUCGUGUUCUCGAUACAGGGUUGCGGCUAACGUGGAAUCGAAUAAACCAAGGUUUUCUUAAUAAUAGUAAAGGAUAAGUUAUCCUGUUUUAUUGACGCUAUUAUGAUGAUAUCAUAUAUUGCACGUGUCAUACGAAUUCCAAUCUGAAUCAAAUACUUUGGAAUCUAUCUCUGUGUUAUGGUAAGUUAUACUCGUGCAUGGGGUGGUCGAAAAUAUACUACAGUUUAAAAAAGCAUUGAAAGAGAGUAAAACUUUAAAUACUCAUGAUUGUUGAUGCAGUUUGCGUCCCCUGACAAAAAAGGUACACAAGAUAUAAACAGUCUUCAAUUCUUUCUGAAUUCAUCUGAUAUGAUGGACAUGCAUGUUUUAAAUUUAUUAAUACUCAGAAGAAAUUCACAAACAUUUGAUCAUGUCACAUGUACAUUUAUGUUUAAACGUAAUUUAUUGUUGUACAAGUUGUUUACUAUGACCAGUAAGUAAUAUGAGUCACCUUAUAAGCACUGCACGUGAACAUGUUCUAAAGUGUAAGACUGGAGUUGUUAGCAUACUACUUACUUUAUACCAAUAAUAACUUACAUCACAGAAAAAAUCGGAUUUAUUAUAUCCUCACGUGAAAAUCGGCUUUAACUUAAUUGGUUUUCAUCAUGAAGUUGUGUGUAUUAUUAACACUUCUAUUUUAAAUGAAAUUCGAUAUACAAAUUGUUAUCAUGGUUAUAUUUACAUUGACCAGUGAGUGAUACGAGUCACAUUAUCCACUGCACGUGAAAAUGUUAUCAAAUUGUAACACUGGUGUUGGUAGCAUUCUACAUACUUUAUACCAAAAAUAACUUACAUCACAGAAUAAUCGGGUUUAUUAUUUAAUCACGUGAAAAUCGGCUAUAAGUUGAUCGUUUUGUGUAUGAUUAACACUUUUAGCUUUACUGAAAUAUGAAAGAUACAGAUUGUAAUUAGCCGUUUCAGAAUCUAAAGAAUCAUGGGUAAUUUCAUUAUUUGUACCCCAAAAUGAAAAUAACGUCACGUCAUUGUUUAAAUUUUCAUUGUUUAUGACAUUUUUAACCAAUCAGGACGUUUUGGUGUACACUUUUGAAAAUAUUACCCAGAAUGCAUUAGAUUCUGAAACGGCGAAUUAUGGUUAUAUUAUACAAAUGAUCGUAAAUGGUACAUUUGCAUUGGUACCGUUUAUGUUACUACUACCACUGAGUUGAUACUUUGAUGGUAGAUUGUUAGUCCCCAAUGGUAUUAAUACCCCAAUAGUCAGAGAAUAUGUGUUGGCAUGAAAAUACUGAUUAGAAAAACAAACUAUACAACCGAAAAGACAAACAACGAUUCAAAAAACACCUCAAAAGCACGCAUUGAUCAACAAGUAUUUAUUAACCACCACAUUUGGGCGAAAUUAGUGUUGAAGACGAGGAAUCAAUUUUUUUUCUGUUGCUAACGUCUGUUAUUUUUUUGUUUAAUAUCUUUAAUAUCUUCAUCAAAUUGCGUGUCCAGCUAUGUUGAUUCUGUUGCAAAUGGUACUUUGAGGAUUGACCUGACAAAUCAUAAGCAUGAUUCUUUCAUGAGUAAUUCCUUUGACAACUACAUUGUUGAGUCAUUUCCAAAAAAUGCAUCAUGUUAAAGGUAAAUAUUUCUUUUUGAUCGUAAGACAUAACCUGGUCACAUACUAUCGAUAAACGGCAAUUAUGUAACCCUUGUAUAAUUCCAAGGGAGGAUUUGCAGAAAAAGAUAAAUAUAGUCAUGACACGCAGAGACAGCUAACAAUGAAAUAAUAAAAUACGCAUUAAUGAAGACAAGAAUGAAGUAAAAUAACACUUGCCCCUUGAACACAAAAUAAAAUUAGGGUUCAACUCAUCUGCUACGUAAAUGAUUUUUUUUGUGUUGAUAACGACAAAUAACAAUUGGUAAGUAAAACGUCUAAUGCUGUGAUGUAGCAAUCGAGUAAAAGUGGCCGAUAUUAUGGCUACAAAUAAAAUCUGUCCUUGGUCAUCUGUUACAUUUUGUCUCUAACGGUACAAAAAACAAUAUAAAUAAUGGCUGCCUCUGUAGCUUNNNNNNNNNNNNNNNNNNNNNNNNNNNNNNNNNNNNNNNNNNNNNNNNNNNNNNNNNNNNNNNNNNNNNNNNNNNNNNNNNNNNNNNNNNNNNNNNNNNNNNNNNNNNNNNNNNNNNNNNNNNNNNNNNNNNNNNNNNNNNNNNNNNNNNNNNNNNNNNNNNNNNNNNNNNNNNNNNNNNNNNNNNNNNNNNNNNNNNNNNNNNNNNNNNNNNNNNNNNNNNNNNNNNNNNNNNNNNNNNNNNNNNNNNNNNNNNNNNNNNNNNNNNNNNNNNNNNNNNNNNNNNNNNNNNNNNNNNNNNNNNNNNNNNNNNNNNNNNNNNNNNNNNNNNNNNNNNNNNNNNNNNNNNNNNNNNNNNNNNNNNNNNNNNNNNNNNNNNNNNNNNNNNNNNNNNNNNNNNNNNNNNNNNNNNNNNNNNNNNNNNNNNNNNNNNNNNNNNNNNNNNNNNNNNNNNNNNNNNNNNNNNNNNNNNNNNNNNNNNNNNNNNNNNNNNNNNNNNNNNNNNNNNNNNNNNNNNNNNNNNNNNNNNNNNNNNNNNNNNNNNNNNNNNNNNNNNNNNNNNNNNNNNNNNNNNNNNNNNNNNNNNNNNNNNNNNNNNNNNNNNNNNNNNNNNNNNNNNNNNNNNNNNNNNNNNNNNNNNNNNNNNNNNNNNNNNNNNNNNNNNNNNNNNNNNNNNNNNNNNNNNNNNNNNNNNNNNNNNNNNNNNNNNNNNNNNNNNNNNNNNNNNNNNNNNNNNNNNNNNNNNNNNNNNNNNNNNNNNNNNNNNNNNNNNNNNNNNNNNNNNNNNNNNNNNNNNNNNNNNNNNNNNNNNNNNNNNNNNNNNNNNNNNNNNNNNNNNNNNNNNNNNNNNNNNNNNNNNNNNNNNNNNNNNNNNNNNNNNNNNNNNNNNNNNNNNNNNNNNNNNNNNNNNNNNNNNNNNNNNNNNNNNNNNNNNNNNNNNNNNNNNNNNNNNNNNNNNNNNNNNNNNNNNNNNNNNNNNNNNNNNNNNNNNNNNNNNNNNNUUGAAUUCGUGGUUCACCUGUACACACAACAUCCUCGAAAAUUGGUAUCCAACGAAUAAUAAUGAAUCCACAGUAUGCCCUUGGAAAUAUAAAAUAUGUGCAAUGGGGCGACAUUAAUAUUGGAAUCUGUUCUUUUAUUUAAAUUGGGAUAUUUUAAACAAAAGUUUGUCACAAGUGAUCCAUCGCAACAGAAUCCAACCAUCAAUACACUGUUAUAUUAAUUUGUCACAAAAAAGACACAAGAAAAACAAUUAAUGAUUUAAUUUAUAUUUAAAUUAUUUUUAUUUUGUUACACAAUAAACAAGUUUUACUGUAAACAAAAAAGUAAAUGUCCACAAUAUCAACACAUCAUAUUUAAUUGUUUACUUUUUAUAAGAUAUAUUAACAAAUAUAAUAACAGACAUGGUUAACAAAGCUACUAGUAAUUUAAUGAAUAAAAUAUUUCCAAAAUAAAUUUUAAAUUCAAAUAACUAGUAUUUAUCUGAAUCAACUUUUAAAAUUGGUUAUUUAAAACAAAAAAAGUCAAAAAUGGUUUUAAUUGGUUACAAUUAAAAAAAUACUAAAAUUUUUUACAUGUUUGAUUAUUUUUUACUUACUUAAAUAAUUUUUGUUAAUUACUCAUAGAUUCCUUGUUAUUCCUUUGAAUUACAUAAUUGGGUAACUAAACACCAAUGGAGGCCAUAUUUAUACAUUUGGUUACAAGUUGAUGUUUCUUAUAAACCUAAGGUUAAAAAAACUGAUUUCCUCAAGGUCUUACAAAGUAAAAUAAUUUAUACAGAACAUCAACUCUACCAUAUCUAAAAAAUAUAUACAGAGGCCAUACUGAGGUCAAUAUUAACUCUAACCAAGGACGUAUGUUAGUUAUACGUCCUUGCUCUAACUAAAUAUAAUCAAUACAUAUAUGUAAAUAUAUACAACAAUUGUUUAAAAGUUUAUACAUCUGAAAAAUGUAUAAAUAAUAAAAAAAACCUUGAGUAUUAUCUACAACCUAAAAAAAGAACAUAAUGUAUCAAAGUUAACAAUGAAUAUCAAAAUAAUACAAGCUUUGAGGUAAAAAAUCAAAUGUUAUUUCCAUUGCAUGAAAGUUCAUUUUGCAAGGCCAUUGAAAACUGAAUAUUGGUUCCCCCUAUUAGAAGCCAAUAUCAAAUGCCUUAAGGUGGUACCCAACACCUUCACUAAAAACAAUUUGGCUCGUUUAAUUUUCAUAAAAUUUUGAAAAAGUAUUUACCCAUUGACAAAAAUAUAAAAAAAAAUCAAAAAAGUUGAACCAACCAUUUUAUCAGAAAAAAUACACUGGUUAUACAGCAGUUUGACAAACACUAAAUCUGAUCAUUAAGAAGCUUAAAAUUCCCUUAAAAACACAACAUAAUUAAAACGUUUAGCUGAUUUACAGAGUUAUCUCCCUGCAGUGUUAGGUACCACCUUAAUGGUCAGCAGGCAGCCAUUUAAUGUUUUAACAUAUUUUAUUUAUUUUGUGAUUGAUUAAAUGAGGCACUGGUUUUGCUCUACAGAGAAUUUCU